rnacentral:lncRNA from 1 species
CUCAAGUACGAAUUCCACAGAUUCUUCAAGCUCCAAGCUCGAAUUCGAUACAAGGUUUUGCGAUUUCCUAAUCACAAAUCCAUUCGACAGAACGUAUCGAGGCCCGGAGAUCGGAUUCGGGCGCAGAGACACGUGCGCGCCGGCUUGGAACAGGACGGGCAGACGUGCCGCAUCGGAUUGGUGGAGCGAGCCGUUUCCGACAUUUUUGCGGAGCCGCGGCGGGCGGUGGCGGCGAUCCGGCUGGGGAAGGAGGGAGCUUGAGGAGGAGGAGGGUGGCCGGGGACGCGUAUCGAAACGGGCUCGGAUUCAGGUUCGGGAACGGGUUCGCGAAUCGGAUUCGGGUUGUGAAAUGGACCCGCAUUUCCCCAGAAAUUGGGAGAUGAUUUUUGGGAAUCUUGAGAGAAACGGUAGGGGCCAGAGCGGGCAGUGGCGCUGUUUGGCCAAAACGGUCGAGCAAAUGGUUUUGAAUUUACUAAUGAGCGUGCCAGCGGCGGCCUCUAUGAUUCAAAUCCGAAAAAUAGUGUGCAUAGGCCAAUCGAUGACUGCCGCCAUCAGGUGAGGCUGAAUAUCAUGGCGGCGACCAAGUGGUGGAGAUUGUUCUCGUGGGUUUAUCAUGCUAUGAGACGGCAACCAUUGUAGCAAUGGUCGAAAUCAGGAUGAUGAAUGACCGAAAUCAUGCAUCUAGACACAGUAAGUAUCCACUUAGAUCAAAUGGUCAACAAGUUAACAAUUGAGGCCUUGAAGAUUUUAGCAGAGGAAGUUGAUAUGUUCUUUAGAUCCUUGGACGGCGGUUGCAUUUGCGCUUCAGAUUGUAAUAGCAGCCUCAGGGUUCCUCCUUUCGAAGUCUUCUGAGUAUGUAUCACUUAGACAUCCUAAGCUUCAUAUCAGCUGCUAAUAAUGCUGCGAAACUUCACAUAAAAUUGCCUUCUUGGAAUUUGCAUGAGUAGUGUCCAAUUUCAACCUAGUGAGGAACUUUUUGGCCAAAAAAAAAAAGAAAAAAUAAUUGGUUGAUGUUUCAAAUUAACCAAAGGACGAUGGAUCUAAAUAUCUAAGAAACUAAAGGACUAGCAAAGUCUACUUCCUGUUCGACUUAGAACUGAAAGGAAAAUUUAUAAAAUUUAUUAUUAUGAUUGAUCUUUCCAAAAUGUUGCCUCCUAAAGAAAAGGGAGAAUUUUGGGCGAUACCGCGUUUAAUUUGUUUGUGUUUAGAAAUGAUUUCGAACAUGAUAUUGCAUAAACUUGUUGAUUGAAAAUGUUGUGCCACACACGUUACUACUUGCUCUUUUGGAUCAAACCAACUUGACAUGGAUUGAACUGUUUCAACAUUAAACUAUUCAAAAUAUUUGAUCUGCUUACUGAUUUUAUCAUAUUUGGAAACACGGGCGGGCAAGUUUUCUUUUUGCCCUUUGUUGUCAAAAGAAGAAGAAAGAAUUGCAUAGCUAUCACCUCUAUUUUGACAAAUAUAGUAGCUUCCCAUGUCUGGGAUAAGACGAUGAAACUCGCAAGGGUUCAUCCUAAGUCGGCUUGUGCUUCGUACAAUGUCUUGUAACCGACUUGUUAGCUUAGUACCCCGAUUACCUUAUACUCCUUUUCUUCAAUUAUUAUUUUAAUACACAGAGAGAGGGCCAAUGCUGAGGUCUUGAUGAGCACCGACUACCCUUGAGCAACCACUUCAACACUUCCUGGAAGAGAGAGGAAACACACCUCCUUCUCUUCAUUUCCAUUUUCCUAUUAUUUUGUUUUUUUUUUUUUUGUGGUCUUUGCCUUUUAUUUUUUUAAAAUUUUUGCCUUUUUUUUUAUAUGUCACAUUAGCGCCAUGCAUUCUCAAAAUUUUUAGAAAUGUCAUAUCUCCACUUUCCAUCACUUAAAUUGAACGCAUCUAAUAACUUGAUUGCUUUAAUUAAAUUAGUUUACAACUUCAUAUUACUUUUAUCAUAAGUUCUAGAACUUAGGUGCCCAUAUUAAAAGAAAUGAAAGAAACGUCGAAGAUAGAGAGAGACAAGGGGCUGGUCUUGUGUCCGGUUCAUUCCGGGUCAGCAAGUCGAUAAUGUCACUAGCCAUGAAUUAUGGAGGAACUUGAUUUCAUUAACAGAGAAAAGCUGAAGGACAUAUUUCCUUUUUUCCCCCGAGAAUGACAGCACGUGAAUUCGGAGGAAGCUCCUAGAGGCACGGUCUGUCCUUAAGCCACACGUUAGAUAUAUUAUUGGUAAAUGGUAAUGAACAUCAUAGUUUCUUAUGGAAUGAUCCUCGGCAUCCUCAUGGGGUGUUGUUUGGAUGUUUAUCCCAAAAAACUAAUUUAUGAUGUUGCACUGGGCCUGAACUCUCUAGUUGCUGGUGUCAUUUGUAGAGAUGAGUGGGUUUGUCCUCCAGCAGGAUCAAAAUUGUUUGUGCAUAUUCAAGCAGCCAUAUGUGGAACGAUCUUUCUCCUGCUCUGCUUUUGAGGGUAGAGCAAUUUUCAAAGGAAAUUCCUCUGGAUGCUUCACCCAGGCAGAUGCUAGGAAGUGGGUAAGGGAUAAAAUGCAGAAGAUCUAAUCCAAGUUUGCAUAAAUUCAGCGUUGUAGCUUGGCUUGCUAUCUUGAACAGGCUGCAAACCUUGGAUGGGAUAAAAAGGGGGUCCUCCAUUGAUGACAAAUGUGUCUUAUGCUAUUCUUCCCAAGUCUAGGAAACCUUUGUUUUUUAGGGUGCCUUCUCAAAGGAUGGAGAUCUCUAAUGGGUUUGGUUAAAGUUUGUUGGAACGUUAAUAAUUGGGAUAGAAUGAGUUCUUUAGAGCUUGUAGAGGGAGGUCUUUGACUAAAAUCGUAUUGAAACUCAUUUGGAAUGGUGCCAUCUACUCUAUUUUGGGGAUAGGAAUGGAGUUUUUCACAAUCGUGCUGCUCCUCCGUCUGAUGGAGCUGUUAAAGUGGCGGUCUUUGGUGUGAGACUCCGCAUCAAGCUGUGGUAGGAAACAAAGAGUCUUUCGAAUGAUGCAGAGAAAGCUCUGUAUAUGAUAUUUUGGAUUGUUUGUUAAGUCUGGGCGUUUUCUGUUGUUCUUUCUAUACGCUUCAUAUACUAACCCGAAAAAAAGAGCUAACGGAAUUAAUUGCAAGUUGGAGGAUUUCAUAGCACAAAAAUGAUAAAGCAAGACCGUAUCUCAAUAUUGAGAUAUGGUUUUUUUUUUUUUAACCGACCAAAAAACAAAAGACCGUAUCUCAAUAUAAGAUUUGCAUUUACGGGAUUGGUUCUUAUUUUCUUUUUAUGGUUUCCAGUGCCACUCACCACGUGCAUCUUUCCAUGGAGGUUGGACCUGGCGGCUAGUUCCUUGAUGUUGGUCCGGUCCUAUAAUCCGAAAAGUCCUUUCCUGACUGCCAUUGACUCUGUUUUUCCAUUUCAUAAAAAUGCCCGACUUUUGAUCUUUCUCGAGUACCCCAAAAGCCUGACAAAUCCAUAAACUCCUGAAAAUUUAAACUGGCAACCUCCUGAAAUUCCUGACGCUAAUCCCUUCCGUGGUCCAGAUUGCCAGAGCAGCUUUGGUCCUUCCUUUUCAUCUAUGUUUGCUACUUUGGAAUUUCCAAUUUCGUCGGUUCUUGUCUAUAUCUGCUAUUUACCCACUCUGAGGGAUCCUCAGGUGGUUCUGCUUACUGGGUGAUAUUUCUUUCGUUUUUUUUUUUCGGUUGGAUGGUUACUAAGUGAUUGGGAAAGGGUUUAGUAUGGUUUCUUUUUUAUACAUGCAGAUCUUGGCUGACUUCAUUCUUUUCUAGUUAGCUCGAAGUUGUCUCCUCUCUCGUAGCUCAGAAUAAGUGAUGCCUAGAGAGGUUGAUCCAUUUCGGAGGCAUGUGGAGGUUGUGGCGAACAAGUGGAAGUGUAAGUUUUGUGGCAAGGAUUUUGGUGGAAGUGCUACAGGGAUCAGGGCACACCUCGUGGGGGCUCUGGGCUAUGGUAUUAAACUAUGCGAGAGAGUUGAUGAGCAUGUGGGAUCCCAAGCUUUGAUAUUGAUGAAAGGUAAAAGUGUGGCGGAUGCAACCAACAGGGUAUGGGCCAAAUUGUAGUCCUUGGUAGUGACCAUGCUUCGAGUCCCCAUAGUAUGCAGGACUUGAAUCGAAACGUCCCAGAGCAACCAUCUUGCCAUUGGCAGAAUGGAAGUGUUGCUGGUGCAGCUUCGUAGAUUGUCAGCAUCAAGAGACCUUGUGUCUCGUUGGCAUGCCAGUGGGUGAUGCAGAAUUGCCCCCGCAAGGGCCGCAACCCAAUGGGUCAAUUCAACGCUUGAAUGAUGAACAUGGAAACGAAAAAACUUCAUCUCUCCAGCAACCUGCAACCGAUCCCUUGGCUUCGAUUUUUCUUGAUCCAAAGUUAACUACCAGAGCUUUUUGAUCAGUUUAUUGAUCUGGAGACGAGGUAUGAACAACGGAAUAGUAGAGGGCCAUCACCAUUGCAAAGUCAUCGAUCCCUUAAUAACAGCGUGACAAAUGGGUUGCAUCAAGUCAACUAGACCUGGUGGUGCUGCGCCUGGUCCCCGUCUCAGUGACACAAGUACAAUUGGCACUCCCCAGCAUCCCAAUCAAACUCAUUUGGGCUUUGAUGAACAAUGGAGAGGUGAAAGCGCUCCAUGUCCGCAAAUAUCUUCAGCAGAGUGGGUGUCUUGUCUUCUCGAUAUGCCCUAUCAGCCACAGCAUUCCAUUCCAUCUUGUUAUUCUGAGGAAAUGCCAAUGAAUGACCUGCAGAAUUGAACGGGUGCAUCGUCGUCACAAAAUGAUCAAUCCCUUGACGUUCAAAUUGUUUGCAACACUGCAAUUAAAUCCCUAUUGCCGAAGUAGUUCCGCUGUCCAAUGCUACAAGUGUAACCAAUGCCGUUGAGCAUUUUAGUCAACAUCCACUUCUUAUAUGUGAUGAAGAAUGUGAAAAUGAGAGUAGUUCCUUUCCCUCACAAGCUUCAAUGGACAUAUCUCCGCCAAGUGUAUUACAGCCUUUCACUGGCCCUCAUUCUUUUGAGAAACUGGACGUAGAUUCCCAAGUUCCACAGGGCGGAACUAAGAAGGCCCAUUGUCAUUACAAGGUAUGCCUUGAAGUGAGCCUUCUCUUCUCUUUUCUACUGUCUCCUAUUUAACAUCUCCCACGUUUUCCUAAUUAUAGGUGUAUCCUUGAAUGUUUCAUAUGUGCACUUUCUCUUAUUUUUUAAUGAUGAUAUUAUAUGAGAAUAUCAAACAGACGUAGAUGUUAGUUUCAGUGUAGAUGUUUUGUGGGAUUAAGUCUAGAUUUUGACUCUACUUACGCUUGUGGCUNNNNNNNNNNNNNNNNNNNNNNNNNNNNNNNNNNNNNNNNNNNNNNNNNNNNNNNNNNNNNNNNNNNNNNNNNNNNNNNNNNNNNNNNNNNNNNNNNNNNNNNNNNNNNNNNNNNNNNNNNNNNNNNNNNNNNNNNNNNNNNNNNNNNNNNNNNNNNNNNNNNNNNNNNNNNNNNNNNNNNNNNNNNUUGAUUACAUGUUUCCCACAAGCUCCGAUGGACAUAUCUGUGAGUAGUCCAUCAUCACCGCAAGGUACAUGUUAAUUCAUCUAAACUGAUCCUUAUGUAUCCUGAUGUUACUUAAUUAGGGAGAAGCAUGAAUGCUUACAUUAGGAUCUAACACGUAGAAUUCUUGAUUCACAAUCAGCUAUUUAUAGAGUCAUCCAAACGCUGGCAACUUCGAAAAUAAUGGAGCCUUGAAAAGAAAGGUAGAACGACUCUACAAUAGAGAAGCUGACAUAAAGAAUGAUAUAGAAUUUGCUGCAUCUCUAUCUCUGAAGAAGCGGAGAAUAGAAGUUGUGAAUUGGUUGACAAACGUGGAAACGCAGAGGAAAAAUUUCCAAAGUCUUAACCAGCGAGCGCAGAAAAUUUGCGACCACAAUAACAGGUGGAUAUGUUGAUGGAAGAAGCGGUAGGCCUUAUCAUAAAAAGCAAAUUUCCAGAAGGACCGUUUGAGGUGGGAGAUGCCAAAGUCAAUAUAUUAUUAGAACGAAAGUUGCAGGGAGGAAAGGCAUUUGACACAUACUAAGAAGAUCUUGCGGUAACUAAUAGAGGAUCGCAUAUCAUGAUCAGGCAUUUACGGUAUGGGGGGUGUCGGGAAAACAACCAUUAUGGUGCACAUACAUAAUAGGCUCCUAGAAAAAGAAAAUCAUAUUAAUGCAUUGUGGAUUGCUGUGUCACAAGAUCUCAACAUACAUAAGUUGUAAGGUGACAUUCAGCUAAUAUAUUCAAAAAAAAUUUCAUGCAUGGGUGUUAAUUUGGAUAAUGCUAACUAUUUAUAAAACAUGAAAAUAUAUAUNNNNNNNNNNNNNNNNNNNNNNNNNNNNNNNNNNNNNNNNNNNNNNNNNNNNNNNNNNNNNNNNNNNNNNNNNNNNNNNNNNNNNNNNNNNNNNNNNNNNCUCGUGUUUUUGGGUCAUUAAAAAAAAUAAAAAUCUUUCUUUAGCAACUUCUCAAAUUGGUAAAUUGUUGAACGGAUGAUAUUAAGGAGCAAAUCAUUAAAAUGUGGGGGCCAUAAUACAUAUGCCUAAUGUGGCGCUACGCGUCAACUUGCUCUAUCUAUUUGGAGAAUAAAUUCGGCUUUCGACGAUAAAUUUUUUCCUCGAGUUGCGCAUGCAUGUCCAGGAACAAAUGGGAGAAGAGAGAUACAUCGUCCAACUAAUGCUAGAAAUAAGAAAGGAUUGAUGUGGUAAAUGACUUUACAAAAUAAUAUGGUAAAUUCUAAGUAUUUAUUUGAGUCAAUAUAUAUUUGAAAACUCAAUAGUAUCUCGUCACUUCAUGUUAUAUAUCAUUUAAUAUGUCAAAUCUCGAACAUUGUACUAAUAAAAUCACUCUAAAACUCAAUUAGACCAGCUCCAAGUGAGCACCUCAAAGGUAAGAACUUGAGUUCACUUAUGAUUAUCAAGGCCCAUUGGUAAUAAAUAAAUAAAUAAAUAAAGGAAAAGGGUGAGAAAUAUCAUGUGGUGUCGCCGGCGCUGACGUGGAUAAAAUUUAUAAUUUUUUAAUAAUUUUUCAAUUGUUUUUCUUUUAUCAUUCUCCGUACCCCUUGGCUAAUGAGGUUGUCGGCUGACCAUCGUUGGCCAUAGGCCGGUCAGGGUGACGGCCCUUACGCCUUUGUCGACCACAGGUGAGCACGUCGGCCCCCCUAGAUCUAGGCGAGGGCCUAAACCCUCACUUGUUGGCCGAUGAGAGCCUUCGUGCCCUCAGCAGCCACAGGCGAGGACGUGAAGGCCUUUGUUCGUGGCGGGCAAGGACUGCAACACCAUAAGCGAGGCCGUUGUGGCCAUCACUUGGAUUUGGGCAAAGGCAUUGUGCCCUCGCUUGGAUUUGGGCGAGGGCCACCGUGCCCUCACCCACCACGAGCGAGUGCUACCACGGCCUCGUUUGCGGCUAACGAGGGCGUAGAAGCCUUGGCUAGCCAAUGGGCAAUGAUUUCAACCCUUGCCUAGGUUUGGGUGAAGGCCCACGUCCUUGUCGAGCGCAGUGGCCCUCACUAGUGGCUGUUAAUGGUGCGGGGACCCUUGCCUCGACCAGCCUGUGGCCGACGAUGGUUGGCUGGCGACCUUGUCGGCCAAGGGGCUAAGGAGAAAGAAUUUUUAUUUUUAUUUUUAGAAAAAGAGAAAAAAAAAAUGGAAAAAAAAAUAUUUAAAAAUUAUAAAAUUGGUGUACGUCAGCAUCGGCAAUUUCUAGCUUAAACUUGUUGGAUAUAUUGAAUUGGUAUCAAUAUGAAAAUGAUUAGAAUUAAAUUGAUCAAAUGAAAAGUUUAUGACUGAAUUGGUAUUAAUGCAAAAGGUUUAUCACUUUUUUUUGUUACUUUUCCCUCAAAAUAGGUCACUUGAAAUCUCAUUUGGUUUCGUCUCUAAAAGAAAUGAAAGUUAUGUGAGGUCGAAUGGCAUCCAUAUAAAUAGACACAAAUUGUUCAUUAUUUUGGUAAGAGGUUAUUGUUUAGAAAUGAAAAAGAAAAGGAUAAAAAGGUGAAAGCAUGAGGUGGCAACUUAAUAAGCCACAAGUCAACUCUCCAUGCACUAUAUUAAAAUGAGAUUUUAGUAGGUUAAUUGUUGAUAUAAAAAAUAAUUUGCAUAUUCACAAUUAGGCGCUGACAUGUGGAAGAAUUCAAUUACAAAAAUAAUUUCACAUACACACGUCACUUGUUCAUAGUAAGUGUGUAAUGGGGCUUUAAACACUACGUAUCUAAUAAUAAACAAUUAGCUUACUAGGUUAUUUGGUUAACUAUUUUUCUUUAUUUAGUUUAACACAAUAUUUCACUAUUAAUUAAUUAGACCAAAUAGAUCGCAUAUUCAGAUAUUCAAAAUUUUCAUGCACGGGGUUAAUUUGGAUAAUGUUAACUAUUUAUUAGAAUAUUGGAAAUAUAUUAUUUCGUAGAAGGUAAGCAGGAAAAAAAGAAAGAAAGCUAAAGAUACAUGUGGCGGAGUAAAAACAAUCGGAUCUUUAAGAAGGGAAUAAAUCAUUUUUAUUAUUUUAGUAAUAGGUUAAUAUGUAGAAUGGAAUAGAAAGGAUAUAAAAAAGCGAAAGCAUGCGAGGACAACAAUGUAGGGGGCAACAUGCCAAUUCUCGAUAAGGCCUCCAUCUCAUGGAUUCUCCUUCAUGUGGCACUGGAUUUUCUUAUUCAAGUGGUUAAAGAUGCGACAAAAGCUUUAGUUGAAAUAGUUUUUGGGAUUACGACCCAAAAGAAAAAAUUAGUUUUUGGGACAACGAGGGAUCUACCUAACACGGCAUCAGAAAUUCAGCAAAUUAAUAAUCUAAGCAGCAGCCGUGGAAAUUCGCUCAGUUUUUUUUUUUUUUUUUUUUUUGAACGGAACGAACAUAGUAUUAAGAUGAAAAGGCCUUACAUCCCGCGGCUAGAGCAUCCGCGCAUAAAUUCGCUCAGUUUACGUUGCAUAUUUGGCGAUUCUCUUUUGCAGGAGACAAUAGCUCGAGAUGCUAACGUGGGCAAGGGUUCAUGAUUGGAGUAGUCUGCAAUAAAAUAAAGCAUAUAUGGACCCUUCAACAGUAUUGUUGAUCAGGAUUCAAGACUUUGAACAAUGCCAACUCUCUCUCUCUCUCUCUCUCUCUCUCUCUCUCUCUCUCAUUAAAAAAUAAAGAAAUGACGAAGAAAAGACGGAGACAUUUCCUGCGCGCGUUCUUAGCGACUGUUGCGUUGUCUCUUAUGGCAAAAUUCCUUGUGACUCUUCACCAAAAGCUGUUCAUUCCCACGUGCAGCAGCAGGCCUGUGCCUUUUGUUUCUCUGGGAGUUUGCUGGAGUCCUGGACGCUGACCAGUGCUUCAGAAUCUCAAAAACAGCUUCUUAUUUCUACUUCUUGAUUUGCAUCUUUGCCACUUACAUGCAUCCGAAUCUUCUUUUUCGGCCCUAACUGGGAUGUUGCUUCGUCUUCAUCUUUGCCAUUUUCCAUUUGUAAAAAUUAAGGAUAAACUCUCCAACUGUCCUUAUUUAACCGGAUCAAAUAUAUGCGCAUCGGACAAGUAAAUUUGAUGGAUUUUAUGUGAAACGAAUUCUGUCGGGUUGAAUGAUCCGGAUGUAAUUGGGUGGACGUAGGUGUGAGAUGCAAUAACCUUCUGUGAAUUUUCUGAUGGCAAACAUAUACACGUGCUUUGAUUUUCUUUUUAAAGUCGAGAUUAUGCUUCAUCGUAUUUUACAAAUCAUUUUUCUAUGCAUGAAAGUUGCUCCGUGUUUGGGUCAUCUACAUAAAUUAAAGAUCUAGGCUUGAUCAGUUUAUGAGGAUUUAUAGAAUGUUCCAUGAUCUUCCAAGUAAUCGGGUUUUGUGCUUAUGUCUUUGGGUAAAAAAACGGUCUUUCUUCCGCAACUUCUCAAAUUGGUAAAUUGGUAAAGGGAUGAAAUUAAGGAGAAUAGCCUUAAAGUAUGGGAGAAAAAAAAAGAAUUGUACUGUCCAUGUUAUUGACAUCAUAAUCUUUAAAAAUCAAAACUAUUUAGGGUACGUAACUGAAAUGAUAUCUGUACCUUGCGAAGGGUAACUUACAUGCUCUUUGGUGGUUAUAUUGUUUGUUUCCAUGUGUUUGUAUUUUUCUCCAUGACAUUAUUCAUUUGUUCUCUUCCUUAACAAACAGAACAUCACAGUAGUGGAUACAUUAGAAUGACACAAAAUUUUGGAUAGAAGAUAAAAGGGGAAAAUGAGUACUUUUUUUUUUAUCGGAAUAUUUUUAAAACAAUGCAAUAAAUUCUAACUGAUUCUUUUAGUUAAUUGAUGUAUUUCAAUGUUCAAUGAGAUUCUGUCACAUCAUUUUACAAAUCAUUUUAGUGUAUUAAAUCUCUAAUAUUAUACUAAAUAAAGCACUCUAAAUUCAACUACACCAACUAUAAGGGAGCACUCAUCGAAUUAACAAGAACUCGAGUUCACUAAUGACUAUUAAGGCGCAUUGGUGAAAAGGAAAAGAAAAAGGCAAAGGAAGGCAAAGGGGGAAAAAAAGAGGGUUGGGGGCAGGGGUCUCAUCGUCUCAUUAUAUUUCUCUGAAAGAAACAGUACGGAGAGAGAUCGAGAAAUACAGAGAGAGGGGAAGAGCGACGACAGUGGAUUGCAGCCUGUCCAAAGGGAAUCACCAUUUUCGAACCCUAGAAAACAGAUUUUAGCUCUAUUUCUCACAAAUUUUGUAGUUUUGUUUUAAAGUUAACAUCUGAAUCUCUUGUGGAUUUUGCUUCGCCAGCAACGAUUCGGUCAAAAUCAAACGAUAUUUUGUUUUAAAAUUAAUUCUGACAUUGAUUUUUUUUUCUUUAGAGUAGAUUGGGUCUUUCUCAUGUAAAAAAUAGCAAGUUAUACUUGGGUCUGUCCGUAGCUUUUCUUAAUAUUAAUCCAAUUUAAUGGAAAUUAGUAGAUGAUAAAUUUGUCACAAAUUCACAAGUUUUGGGUUUUUGGUGUAAAAAUUGGUUUGAGAUAAAUUUGUUAUAUGCGUAUUAAUUUGGAAUAUUUCCUAAUAUUAACAUUAUUAGUGGUUCUUUUAGUUUAUAGAUAGAAAAUUCGGUCGCCACUUUUCAAGUCAUUUUAAUGUAUCAAAUCUCACUCUAAAUACUAUUGAGGCACGUUAUUAAGGGGUCUAAUCGUCUCAUUUGAUAGGGAAUUUGCGGAAGAGAACAGUGCUGGUCAUGUGAGCUUUACAAAUGGUGAUGUGGCUUCUUAUAAAACGUUUUAUACAAAAUCAGGAUGUUCUGUAAGAAGUGACGUGGCUUCUCAUAUUGGGCAAGACAGGAGGCCUUUAUAAGGGGUGAAUGGAAGCCUUUAUAAGGGGUGAAUGGAAGCGAAAGUGCUUCCUUAAAGGGUAUUUUCGGAAGGAAGAGUGCUCGUGCAGCUGGAGGGAGAGACAUGUGAACUUGGAGGCCAAAGUGCUUCCAAAAAGGGCAUUUUCGGAAGAAAAAGUGCUGGAAAUAGUGAUGUUGGCUUCUUAUUAAACGUUUUAUACGAAGUCAGAACUUUUCUGUACCGACAAAAAAAGAAGAAGAAGAAAAGCUCUGUAAGAAAUGACGUGGCCUGACUCCGUCAGGAACGUUUAAAUGUUUUAUACGAAGUCAGGAAAGUUCUGUAAGAAGUGACGUGGCUUCUUAUAUAUAAACCCCAACAGCUUCGUAAACCCGAGAAAAUAUUGGGUGGUCCGGGACCACCACGUCAGCGUGGUCCCCGGCCACUCACGAGGUGCCAUGUGGAGGGGUGGGCCCCACUUGGUGUCCUCUUCGCUUUUUCUCUUGCUCCUCGACGCAGUGCUCCUCUCUCUCCUCUCUCUCUCCCAAAUAACUCUCGGCUGAUGGCUCGGCUCGGCUCGGUUGGCAGAAGAAAGCACGGGUCAAUGGAUAAUAAAUGCGCAGCCCUCCCGCUUAAAAUUUCUCUCUCCUCACUUGAAUAUUUUCUGGGCUCUCUCUCUCCUCGCGGACGAGCUGCACUUCCUCUGUUUCCUUCUCAGCGUAUCCCACCCCCUCCGCCUCCGCCUCCCCAAAAAGCCUCGCCGGUCCGUCGCCUCCUCCAAGAGCCCCGCCAAUCGCAGCUGGUUCCCGAUCCCCUUUGCUUCCGACUGUUUCCAACGCCGAGAUUGAGCGUAAGGUUUGUGCUCGCCUGGGUCUCUAGGCAACUUCUGGGCCUCCCUCCCUCCGGCGAACUCGUCAUCAACUCCGACUCCGAGCCGCCGUCGCCGCCGCCGAUGGCGUCCUCCGUCUCUGGCAUCUACUCGUCCUUCCCCUCCCUCAGGCCGAAGACACCGCCAGCCUCCGCCGCGAAGUCGUCGGCCUUCGGCAGGAGGGAGGCGGCCUCGGUCUCGUUCCCGAGCGGCGCCAGGCUCCCCGCCGUCGACCGGGUGCUGUCCCUGUCCGACGAACUCCCUCUCUCUCUCCACCCUCCCCCUUUCCGAUUGGCGAACCACCGCGAGCAGCCGACGAACCAGGAAGCGAACCUAAUAUUUUCUCCCUUCUCCGACGCUCGAUGCCCUCUCUGCCCUCUACCCCCGACGCUCGACGGCCGAUUUAGCUCGCCUCUCCCACGACCUCCACGCUUUUGGCGGUUCUUCCCCCGCGGUUCGGUGAGGUCUCGGGUAUGCCCUCGUGCCGCGUCUCUUCUUCCUUGCUCAGCAACACUGGACUGCCUCUCUCUCUCUGAGUGUGUCUCUCUGUGCAUUCUUUCAUCCAUGAGGCAAGCAUUUCGACUAGGGUUCAGGGGUUUCGCCACCCCCUUCUUUGAGGUUCGUCCGGGUACCUCUCAUUUUUGCGUGAACCCAGCGUGAAUUUUAUAGUCUUUCUUUCCAUAUGACUACAAGCGACUGCUAAGCGACAAUGCGACGACAGUUUCGAAUCCUGGGUUUCGCUCUGUGAUGCUAAGCGUUGCUUUGGUUCCUUAAAAAGUUGCUGACUUUUUCGCAUGUUGUAGCUUCUUGGUUGCUCCGAGAUUUUGGGUUGGUCGUUCUAUCGUCUUGCUCGGAGCCAGCGAAAUGUUGUCCAAAAGGGGCAUGUCGAAUUCGUCGACACCUGAGUCGGCGGCGAUUUCUGAGGACAGGGAAGAAAUCGAAAGGAUUGGUGGCUUCAGUUCCUAGUUCUACCAAAAGUCAUGUCAAGGUAUUGUCUUUUAAUCGAACCUAUCGUUCCACCUGUGUUUUGGGGACUUGACCAUUCAGCAUUCAUUUUUUCUGCAGAAAAAUUCUGGUGCAAGCAUUGGUGAAGUCGUGUUGCCUAAUAAUGACCCGGCCAAAAUUGAGGCAAUGACAUUUCACGAAUUGAGAGCUACAUUGAGGUGGGGAUGAAUUGUUUUAGUUGCAAGCGUGUGAUAGUCGUUAUAGCGUUUCCUGCGCAACCUUUACAGUAAGCAAAACUCAAGUUUUUCUAUUUGAUGCUUGCAAAGGAGAUUAUUGAGCAGGAAGUGAAUAUUAUUGAUGGAAAACCAUGAGGUCUUGAGAAUUUGCCUUCAACAAAGAGCAAGGUCUUGAGAAUCUGCUUCGUUCGGGUCAAGAUGGCGAGCUCCACAGCCGCACAAGUCCACGGUCUUGUGCUGUAUGGUCCGGGCUUGUAGCUCUGUCGACGGCAAAAGCAAGGUUUACAGAGAACUCGGUCCGUCUCCCUCGCCUAAUUCCAUUAUGUUGUCUUUCUCGAAUGCUUUCAUGUGGGUAGUUCUUCUUUUGGUUAGAUUAAGAUGGAGUGCUCGGUUCAUUUGCAAAUGCGCAAGAUGAUAGAUGGUUCUUGCUUUUUUGAGAAGUUCUUUGACAUGUUGUUUUAGACUGCUUGCGAAGAAAUCCAGACCGAUUUGUGGUAAAAUGAAAAAGAAAGAGUGAACUUUUCCAGAUUUUAUUGGUCAUACAAUCAUGUCUUUCGUGUAAAAUUUGAAGUCAGUAAGUAUCUUUUGGGCCUGAAUCUUUCUCAUGAGGCCUCUUGCUUCACAUUAGGUGAACUCCCAUGUGUGAGUGGUUCUUGCUUUUUAAGUUAUCACCCUAGUGGAAAGAUUCUUCAUUUCUUGUUCCUCGGUGUUCCAAAUAUGCUUUGUUUCAGAGUUUGCUCUUCGGAAUUUCAAACCAGCGGUUCAUUUGAUAUCUAUGGUUGCCGUUGCAAGGAAGUUAUGUCAAACAUGUUGGAAAUAGAUGAGUUUUGCAAAAUGUGACUCCUGUAAGAGGACUUGAAGUCAAGUUUAAUUUUCUUGUACAAUCUGACAUGAAUUCUGAGAAAUGUAAGCAAAAGUGUUUCUGGGAUGUUGGUGGGGUAAAAAUCUUUGCAGUUCGGCUUUUAUGUAAAAUUUGCAUUUCUUUUUCUCCAGGGUUGUUUUCACUAAAAAGGAAGAUUGAAGAUGCAGUUCAACGCACUGAGAAGAUGGCUCCUACUGCACUGCAAAUUGAAGAAGCUAAAUGGAUUAAGCUUGAUGGACUGAUUCGAGAUUACAACCUUUGGGAUGAUCCUGAUAAAUCCUAUGAUGUUCUUGUGAAGUUGGCAGACAUGGCCAGAGCAGUCGAUGCCCUGAGGGAUUUAACUUACAAGGUGGUGUGGAAUGCCAUAUUCAUCUCACAGAAUAAGCUUUUCCGCCCAGUAGGUGUGGAUUAAGUUGGGCAAUUGUUGGGUCAAUGGUUUGCCCAUUAUAAGCUUGUCUUGACUCUUCUUCCGAGAUUAACUUGAUUCUUAAUGUGUUAAUGACUGUCAUAUCUAGUUUAACUGUAUCAAUUAAAGGAAGUGCAAUUGCUGGCUUUAGUUGACUUUUAUCUGCUGAAAUUUGCAGGCGGAAGAAGCAAAGCUGAUAACUCAACUGGUGGAGAUGGAUGCUAUUAAUUAUGCUCUUUUUGAGCAGGCAUACGCUUCGUCUUUGGAUAUGAGUAAGUUUUUGGACUGUUAUGAGAUGUUAAAGCUUCUUAAGGGACCAUAUGAUGUGAAUGGAGCGUCGAUGGUCAUCAAAGCUGAAUCCAAUGGCAAUUACCAUGAGGUUUGAUAAUCUAACUUCAUUUCUAGAAUAAUUAUGCAUGUGCAAAGAGAUGAUGUUUAUAUCACACUCUUCCGUUGUAAUAUACAUUGAUGUAGAAUAGAUGCAGAGUCUCUGGUUCCCGCUUCUUUAUAAUACUUACGCCAAAAUAUAGGAGUUUCAAAGAACUUGAGAAUGAAAAAACUGCAUAUAUAUGUACAUAUAAGGGUGGGACAUUAUUAGUGGAAUCUUGUUAGUAUAUAUGUAUGCUUGUGCGCAUCACCAUUUCAGUUACUUCUUAUUUACGAAUCUCUUUGCUUGAUGACUUAGAUGUCUUGAAAAUCAAUUGUGGGAUUUCUCCAGGGUUUAGUGGAUAUUUAAUUUAUUGUCUAGUAUCCUUCUUCCUGUGGGAGGUAUUUUGCAUGUCCCUCCCCUGAAUUCCAACUCAGAAGUAAACAUUAAGUGAUAAUGUGGUGGCUAUCAAAAGAAUAAUGAGAAAAAAGAAAAGUGAGAAUUUGAUCAGUAUGGAUAGUGGUUCGAUAUUAUUCUCCACUAUGAGGAUACUUAUGUUAUGAGGAUACUUCAUUUUGACAUCAGUAUGAACUAGGACAGGGAAUGAUAAGUUGCCAAUCUAUUUGCAUAUGAAAGAUGAAAUCUUGGAAAAUAGCGGACUGUAAUAUUCAUCUAUAAUGGGGAUAUAUUCCUUUUCCAUUAGCUAAUUCAAUGAAGUUCACUCAGUUUUGUUGACCCAAAAAAAAAAAAAGAAUCUUUUGGGCUUAAGCCUCUGCUGGUUCCAAUCUCUCUGUCUCUCAUGCAUUUGCUAAUCCAGUUAUGGGCUGAAAAACUACUGAGAAUGUACCAAAAAUGGGCUGAGAAGCAAGGUUAUUGAGGGAGGAUUGUAGAGAAGCGUCAGGCAACAAAUGGUGGAAUCACUUCUGCAACGGUUGAAUUUGAAUUUGAUUAUGCAUAUGGUUUUCUUCAAGGGGAGAGGGGUGUUCAUCGAAUGAUAAGUGGUUCAGAAACUGGAUCAACAAUUGAUGAGGUAGGUUUACAAUUAUCAUUUUUGUUUUGAUGAAACAUUGACUUUUGUAUAUUGCUAUUGGUUUUUGACUUCUUUUUAACAAUGAGCUCUGAAUGAUUUGUUUCUUCUCUUUCCAGAGAUUCAGAAGGCAAAAGUGGCAUCUUGUUAGUGCAUCAUUAAUAUCAAGAAACAAUUUAAAGUGUAUUAAAGACACGACAACAUGUAAAUGACCGUGUGCAAGGAAAAACACAUUGGAAUUGAAAGAUUGAUUGUUUCUGUGGCUCUUUCUUGAAAUCAAAGCAGCUAAAUAUGAACUUGUACUCAUGGCACCUUAUUGUAUAUAUUUGGGUAAAUUCUUUCUUGAUCUUAUCUUAAUUACACACUUAGAUAUUUGUGUGGCACCUAGAUGUCUACACGUAUCAUAGAGUCUAACAUUGGCUAAAAAAUAUAAGAUAUGCAACUUCAAAUGGUGUGGAUUAAUUUUGCACAUGAGCUUAAGGUUGAUUUAGUUCACUCAAAAACAUAGCCAAGGGAAUUGUUGCAUUUCAUGGGAUCCAACCAUUCAAGUUGUUUCUUUUUAUAGUUUAUCUGCUUCUUUUACAAGUGAAUUGAAGGUCGAGAAAAGCCUUUUCUGUGUAAUGUGUUUCUGUUCUGCUACAUCAUUGGCCCCUAAAUUCCUGUCAGUUCCUCAUUUUAGUACUCAAAAUUAUAUCGACAGCCUAGCAGCUGUCGAUAUAAUUCCUCUGUUCCGUGAUUCGGCCCCUGACCUAAAAAUUAGUGAGGAGGAUUUGCUAAUCUCGUGCCCAUCGUCAUCGCCUGAAGUAAAAGUCAUUGAAGGCCGGUCUGGAGUUGUUAUUCAGCAUGUUCCUACUGGUUUUGUUGUCCAAUCUUUGGGUAAUGAGUUGUCUAUUCCCUUAUUUGUUAGGGUUGACCUUCCAACUCAAAUUUGUUUACCAAUGAUUUCCGCAAUCUGGUUUUGACUUUACAAAGAAGCAAAUGCCUAUUCCUCAACACACGUUCAUGAUUGCCUGUCUAGUACGACAUUUUGUGAUUGAGAAAUAAGAUCUCAAAAUUUUUAUCCCAGGUGAAAGGAGCAUUUUUGCAAAUAAGAUUAAGGCCCUCAACCGGUUGAAGGCUAAACUUCUUAUCGCAGCCAGAGAUGUAGGAGUUCCAGGCAUAAAUGGCUUCAAGAAGGAAAAUGUGUUCGAUGUAUGGGGAGACAAGGUCCGAAGAUAUGUUCUUUCCCUCGCAAGCAUGUGAAAGAUGUAAGAAGUGGUGUUGAAAUGCCUGACCUGUAUUCUGUUUUGGACGGUAAUAUAGAACCUCUGAUUGGAGCUCAUAUCCAGAUGAGACUCUCAAAUGACAUGCCUCCACAGUAAAGCAGCUUUUCCCAAUUCGCUCUAUUAAUUUAUUUCUCUGCGUUGGUUCUUCAUCCCAAAGUUUUAUCCCUUGAAGUUUAUUUUUAUGUUAAAAACAAGACAAUUGUUCCUUUGUCAUACAUGUAUCUACGCCUGAAAUUUAUUUUGUUGACAAAACCAUAAGUUGGGAAAAAAGAAAGUGACCCUUCGGUAGGCAUUUUGACUGGGGGCACUGAUAGAUUUUAGCUAAAAAAUUGAAGGUAGUCCGAUCAAAUUCCCAUCACACGCGUGUAAACUACUCAAGAUCAAGACUAUUGUCAUGAACUAGGCAUAUGAAGUUACCAGUAUGUCCGGGUAGUCGAGUUUCUUUGUUGGUUCAUGAUCUUUAGUAAUUCUAACUGUCGGCAAUAAGUAAUUCUAAUUCCACCAAACAUUGCUCAAAGUUCGAUGAGUAUGUAUAAGAUGUGUGUUCACAGAAUUCGGAAUGAUGUAAUUAAGUUUACAUGUUGACAUCCCAAUGUUUGAUUUGGUGCGAGGAGCAGGCGUGCCAAUUAAACGCACGAGGUAGAUUCAUUUCUUGAUGCUACUGUUCCCUUUGAGCUUCAGCCUCUGUCUUCUCACUUGGUUUAUGAAGUCAGUGGGCAUGAUAAGUUCAUGUUAUGAGCAUGAAUAACUAAGAAAGAAGCAGUAAUAAGCAGUUCAGGAUUUAUGAAGAAGCAAUUGCAGUUCAUUGAUAUAGAUAAAAGUUUAAAGAUGGCAAAAACAUGUCGAUAGAUGAUGAUAAUAAUUAGCAGUUCAGGCUUUAUCCUGGCCUUUGUGAAGUUUGCUGGGACUUCCUGGUAUAACCAACAUAACAAUUCCAAGCAAAUAUCCCUUAUCAUGCAAAGACAAAUUCCAGGAGCCUUCGUAGUUGUCAAGGAAUCAAGCAAACAGUAAUACACUUGAGCAGCUGGAGGAUUCCAUAAAAUAAUGAAACUUGCUAAUUACAUUUGUCUAAAACAUUGCCGACAUUUUCACACCUAAUUAUGGGAACAUCAUCAUCUUCAGGUCUACCACGUUCAUGUACAAAAUUCAAGAGCCAAAAAUGACAUUGCUGAUACGUGCUCCUUUGAGGUUCUCUAACAACAAGACGCAAGCAAGGAUCCAUGAAGACUGAGCAGCAGACGGUUGUAGACAACCGUCUUUCCAGACUAACUUUUAAAUUAAAAAAAAAACAUCCACCAGAUAAUCAGAUUGAAUUGCGAACCAGAACGGUUGUACCUACAACUUGCACUCAGCAUUUCAGCAUUUCAGCAUUUUUCCCCUCGCCGGCUUUGGCAUCAGAAUGUAUGUUCAAAAACUUGCACAGAUUUUUUCGAAAGUGAUUUCAAUGUUCCAUCAUAACUCUUCCUCCAAAAGAUGCCUUGUAAAAUAAUCUAGAAAAACCCAGAUCACUCCACAGGGCCCAGACAAAGUAAAUACAGACAGCCCCUUCAUCUCUUCCUUCUUUUUUGCCCCCUUUUGCUAAGCAAAUUUCAUCAAAAAAACUUUCCCUUGCUAGUGGCUUCAACAUGAAUGACAAUGACAAUAAAAGCUCAAUACUUUUCAGCAAACAGCAUCUAGGAUGAUGCUGCCGGACUACCUUCGCAGUCCAUUCACCAAGAUCCCAAAAGAGAUGACAGAACUAAAGCUGGAGAAUCAGGCCAAUAGGACUAUGAUCACUAUCGGUGAUAUCAGGAAGGAUGUACGAGUCAUGAACUUUAUUUGCUAUAGAUUCUGAAAUGAGAAAAUAAUCGAGCUGCCACCCUGUAGAUUGCAAGAGGAUAGUUAACAGGUGAUAAUACCUAUUUCCAUAUGCUUCAUCUGAUAAGACAACGAUAUGCAUAAUGACUUAACAAAAAACAAAAGCUUGUCAUUGCUCAUAUUAUCACCAUUACAGGAGAGAAGUGUAACAUUAGAUAUAUAAUGUUCCAUCAAGUAGAUCUAUGUAUACCUUUAUUUGUCUUCCUCCCACCAUGCUGAUAACCCCAAUAAGUAUAACCAACAGCAUGAGGAUACUGUCUUCUAAAGGUAUCAACAAAGCCCCUCGACAGGAAGUUGGUCUCAAAAGAUUCCCUUUCUUCAAUUGUAAAUCCAGCACUUCUUUUAUUUCCCUGGAGUCUCAUGACAAUCAAAUUAAUGACAGAAAUAAGAAACAUUAGACGUAUUAAGAACUUCUGUUUCGGGAUGCCAAACAGCCUAAAUUGUGAUUUUUAUCAACCCCCCAACACAAAACCCCAAACACCCCCCAACAAAAACCCAAAACAAAAUUCAGUUGUAUGGAGGAAAAGCCUGAUUACAGUCCUCUGUUUUGGGGUUUUUCCCCUCUUUUAAGUGGGGUGGGGGGCAUAUGGUGUGGCCAGGACAUUGUCCUGUGACAGUUAAAAAGCUCAUGCAAAUUAUUAAUGCACCUAGUCAAUCAAAGGCAGAAAAGGCACAUUGAUUGUUUCCCUUACCGCAGGAUCAUAAAUGUCUAUUUCCUGAUGGGCACAAUUCAGAUCGCCAGUCAAAAUCACAGGCUUCAACUUUUCAAGUUCCUGUAUUGCCAACAGCAAGCACAAAUUUGAGUAAGAGAUGAAACAAUAUUGAAACAGAAUAAAAAUAGUAGUCUAUCGGAAAACCUUCAUAGGUUGUAGAAUUGAUCCAUGAUAUGGUUAAUAAUGACUCCUGAACAAAAGUCUAAAUAGCUUUAUCAAAAAACAAAAGGGUUACAUAGUGCUGAACAUACUUUAUGUAGUUACCAAGAGAUGGAUCCCACUGUGAAAUCCUAUACAUCUGACAUAAAUAAGCAACAUAAUUAAUGAAUCAUACUUGAAAGUGUGUAACAGAGUAAACCAAUGAAAUAGAUUGAUACCAGUCUUCUCAGGCCAUCGCCAGAAUUAGGAAAGUAACCACUCAAGAGAUAGAAUGAAUCAAACUCUGCAGUGACAAGCCGUCCCUCAGAAUCAUGAUAUGAUAUGCCCAAGCCAUAUGUAACUUAAAGGGGCUUUAUCUGCACAAAAAAAAUACUAGUAAUAACCUCAAAAAUAAUAAUCCAAAAAAGCCAAAUGUAGGAGAAAACCAGAAGGCACGGUAUCCACCUUACACAAAUUAAUAUAGAGAGAAGGUAGUACUUUUGCGUUUCUGACAUACAAAGUGCAACUCAUGCCGAUUUUAUUAUUCAUCCAACAUCACUUGAGAUGCUAAUUAUAUCUCAUAAGCAACUUAACUGAUCAUUGGCUGUGAUCUUUAUUUAAGAUGAGAAGCAUUUCAUUCGAAUAUACACAAAGCAAAUGGACUAACCCUACUACAAGCAUAUUAUUAUAGCAUUUAACUAGAUUAAAACAUCAGAAUAUCUAUACAGACUCCGACAUUCUUGGUCAAAAUAUGACAAUUCAUUGGGGUCAAAUGCACUCGCAGUAACAAAUCAGAAUGCCUCUGAACUGCAACAGUAGGUAGGGAGCUAGUCCUUCAACCCAGUCAUUCCGUGAACUCUUCCCACAUGCUUUACAAUAACAAUUUACAAGCCUCAGAAACAACCAUAGAAAUACAAAAAAGGACUUACAGGUUUCAUUAUCAUUUUGAGAAAAAGUGUGAUGCAAAAAAUUUCAUUUUCAUAAAAAAAUUGCUCUUUGUUGAAGGCAAAUUCUCAAGACCUCAUGGUUUUCCAUCAAUAAUAUUCACUUCCUGCUCAAUAAUCUCCCUUGCAAGCAUCAAAUAGAAAAACUUGAGUUUUGCUUACUGUAAAGGUUGCACAGGAAACGCUAUAACGACUAUCACACGCUUGCAACUAAAACAAUUCAUCCCCACCUCAAUGUAGCUCUCAAUUCGUGAAAUGUCAUUGCCUCAAUUUUGGCCGGGUCAUUAUUAGGCAACACGACUUCACCAAUGCUUGCACCAGAAUUUUUCUGCAGAAAAAAUGAAUGCUGAAUGGUCAAGUCCCCAAAACACAGGUGAAACGAUAGGUUCGAUUAAAAGACAAUACCUUGACAUGACUUUUGGUAGAACUAGGAACUAAAGCCACCAAUCCUUUCGAUUUCUUCCCUGUCCUCAGAAAUCGCCGCCGACUCAGGUGUCGACGAAUUCGACACGCCCCUUUUGGACAACAUUUCGCUGGCUCCGAGCAAGACGAUAGAACGACCAACCCAAAAUCUCGGAGCAACCAAGAAGCUACAACAUGCGAAAAAGUCAGCAACUUUUUAAGGAACCAAAGCAACGCUUAGCAUCACAGAGCGAAACCCAGGAUUCGAAACUGUCGUCGCAUUGUCGCUUAGCAGUCGCUUGUAGUCAUAUGGAAAGAAAGACUAUAAAAUUCACGCUGGGUUCACGCAAAAAUGAGAGGUACCCGGACGAACCUCAAAGAAGGGGGUGGCGAAACCCCUGAACCCUAGUCGAAAUGCUUGCCUCAUGGAUGAAAGAAUGCACAGAGAGACACACUCAGAGAGAGAGAGGCAGUCCAGUGUUGCUGAGCAAGGAAGAAGAGACGCGGCACGAGGGCAUACCCGAGACCUCACCGAACCGCGGGGGAAGAACCGCCAAAAGCGUGGAGGUCGUGGGAGAGGCGAGCUAAAUCGGCCGUCGAGCGUCGGGGGUAGAGGGCAGAGAGGGCAUCGAGCGUCGGAGAAGGGAGAAAAUAUUAGGUUCGCUUCCUGGUUCGUCGGCUGCUCGCGGUGGUUCGCCAAUCGGAAAGGGGGAGGGUGGAGAGAGAGAGGGAGUUCGUCGGACAGGGACAGCACCCGGUCGACGGCGGGGAGCCUGGCGCCACUCGGGAACGAGACCGAGGCCGCCUCCUUCCUGCCGAAGGCCGACGACUUCGCGGCGGAGGCUGGCGGUGUCUUCGGCCUGAGGGAGGGGAAGGACGAGUAGAUGCCAGAGACGGAGGACGCCAUCGGCGGCGGCGACGACGGCUCGGAGUCGGAGUUGAUGACGAGUUCGCCGGAGGGAGGGAGGCCCAGAAGUUGCCUAGAGACCCAGGCGAGCACAAACCUUACGCUCAAUCUCGGCGUUGGAAACAGUCGGAAACGAAGGGGAUCGGGAACCAGCUGCGAUUGGCGGGGCUCUUGGAGGAGGCACGGACCGGCGAGGCUUUUUGGGGAGGCGGAGGCGGAGGAGGUGGGAUACGCUGAGAAGGAAACAGAGGAAGUGCAGCUCGUCCGCGAGGAGAGAGAGAGCCCAGAAAAUAUUCAAGUGAGGAGAGAGAAAUUUUAAGCGGGAGGGCUGCGCAUUUAUUAUCCAUUGACCCGUGCUUUCUUCUGCCAACCGAGCCGAGCCGAGCCAUCAGCCGAGAGUUAUUUGGGAGAGAGAGAGGAGAGAGAGGAGCGCUGCGUCGAGGAGCAAGAGAAAAAGCGAAGAGGACACCAAGUGGGGCCCACCCCUCCACAUGGCACCUCGUGAGUGGCCGGGGACCACGCUGACGUGGUGGUCCUGGACCACCCAAUAUUUUCUCCGUAAACCCAGCACGGAGAGGGACGAAAGUGGAUUGCAGCCCGUCGAAAGAAAGGGUCGAGCUACACCCGAAAUCUCCAUUUCCGAGCACCAGGUAAGGGAUUUUAGCUCUAUUUCUCACGAGUUAGGGAUUUUCGUUUUCUUAAAAGUUUAAUAUCCAGAGCUAUGUAGGGUUUUGCUUUACCGGCAACGCUUUGGCCGCCAAAAUCCAAUCAUAUUUUGAUUACCCACAUCUCCUCGAGUCUAUAGGGAUUUCACAGAGUUCUAGUUGGAGUCAGAUUCCAGAGAAACGAACUCUCCAAGUCCUCCUCUCUGCGCCGCAGGUGAACAGUGUGUGCCGCCUGACUUCUUGGCUGCCGUUUGGUUCAACUUUGGGGAAAUGCUUACAAUCUCAAAUAGCUUUGAAAAAUAAUUUUAGCAAAAACACCGUUUGGCAAAACUUGCAUUUCUAAUUAGCUUUUGCUUUUUUUUUUAAAAAGUCUAAAAAUAAAAUCCGGUGGCCGGCUAACUGCCGGACGGCCAAUUUGGCCGCCGGACCGCCAAAUCGGGCAGCCUGAGGUCGCGGAGGCCAGAUCUAGCCACAGGACCGCCAGAUCUAGCCUCUCGACGGCCAGAUCUGGCGGUUGAGGUCGCUUGGGUCCGCGCGACCUCAGGUGGCGUCGCCUGGUUCGCGCGCGCCAGGCGACGCCACCUGGGUCGCGGGUUGCACCACCCCGGGCGGUGGUCACCGAGGACGCGCGACCCCCACGCGGUGGUGGUGGUUGCCGGAGAAGCCGAACUCUCAAGCGGCGGGGAAGACGAAGACGAACGGAGAAGAAGAUGAGACGAACGGAGAAGAUGAACAGUAAUGACGAUGAACAGUAAACUUGCAUCUCUGAAAUGCCCAAUGCAAAAAGCUAGUCCUACCCAACAUUCAGCUUUCAACUUUUCAAAUGCCCACAUUUCGAAAAUGAGCAUUCGAAAACCAUUGCCAAACACACAAAAUUUUCCCCAAGGGGCUUUGGGGGCUCAAAGCCCCUUGGGAAAGUCCAACCAAACGCCCCCUAAAGUCUUUUUUUGAGGCGGCGACUUGUCAAAUCUCAUAAUUUUAGAAUUAAUUAUUUUCUUGAGAAGGCAGUCCGCAAUUCCCAAGGUGGCUUUGAGUUAGAUCGGGUGUUUCUCGUCUCAAAAAUAGCAAAUUAUUUUUGGGUCUGUUGGAUAUUAAUGUGCAGUUUGGCUUUCCCGCUUUAGUACUUGCGGAUGCUAGUGUUUGCUCGAGAAUAAUGCUGUGCGCGCUAGGAAAAUAUACACAAGAUCGGUAGGUUAUAUAGUUGGGUGUGCUCUCUUUGCCUGCAGGUUGAUAAUCAAGACAACAAGAUGCCGCGACCUGAAGAUAUAGCCUGGAAAUUCGUGGUUAGACUGGAUAACAAGAGAUGGCGUUGUCCUUACUGUCAUAAAGUGUCCUCUGGAUCAGUCACAAGAGUGAAAAGUCACUUUCUUAAACAACCAAAAGAAGGGAUUGCCUCUUGCACAAAAGUGCCAGAGCACAUACGCACGCUAAUGGAAUUGUUACUCAGUCAUGAGGUGACUUUAGUACUUGUGGUAGCUACAUUAUAUGCUUAGUAAUAUUGCUAUGCGUGCUAAGAAGAUAUAUAAAAAAAUGGGGAUAAUUUAUGAAGGGGCGCGCUCUGUUUGCUUGCAGCUUCAUAACAAGGAUGAUAUAGCCUGGAAAUUCGUCAAUAGAGUGGAGGACAGCAAAUGGCGUUGUUAUUACUGCAGUGGAGAAUUCUUUAGAGACCUUACAUGGGUGAAAGGUCACUUGCUUGGAGUCCCAAAUGAAGGGAUUUCCAUUUGCACACUAGUGCCGGACCAUGUAAGAAAGCUAAUGCGGUCGUUACUUGAUGAGGUGGCUGAAGAAGAGAGCAGAGAAGCCAACAGUCCAUUGUCCAUGGGGACUUUGUUCUCGCCAGGCCUCGAAUAUACGUUGGAACAGUUGCACUUCAACCAACAGGAUGUCAUUGGGUCAAACUCUGACCAACAAUCACAAGAAGAGCGUCAGUUUCAGCAGAGUCCAACUAUGCCGUUAUUGGUGCAAAGUAGCCAUGGUAUGUCCGUGUGAAGUUUCUUUACAUUCAUCUUGGCACGGAGAAUAAAAAAUCAUUAUAUUUUUCGUUUUAUUAACUCUCUCUAGAAUAACUCAAAUUUAUCUAUUUUCAUAUUUCAUCGAUUCCAAAUUAUAGUAAUAUCAUUGCAUAUUAUAUAUGUCCGUCAAUUAGCCACGGAACCAGAGUCACGUGACACAGAAGUGCUGGACCACAUAAGAAAGCGUAAUGACCUCGAUGAGAUGGCCGAAGAAGAGAGCAGAGUGGUGGCUGAAGAACAGAGCAGAGAAGCCCAUGGUCAAUCCUCCAUCGAAUCAAAUUCCCGUUACAUGCCGACUCAAGCUGAGGUGGCUGAAGAAGAGAUCAGAGAUGCCAACCGUCAAUUUUCCACGGAACCACAGUCGCGUGACAUGCUGUCUCCAGCUGUUCCUCGGUCAUCACAAAGCUUGGAAGAUAUAGAAAACUUAUUCACAACAGAGUGGGCGACCGACUUGGAAAACUUAGACUAUGACCUAGAGCAUCAUUUUCGUGAGACUUUGGCAAUGCCGCCACCGGCGCAAAAUAUCCAUGGUAUGUUCAUGUGAAGUUUCUAUACAUGCAUCUAGGCAUGGAGAAAAAACAUCUAAUAUAUUUUUCAAUGCAAACACGUCGGGAUUUUUAACCAAAGUGGAGAGUAUUAAAUAUCUCCGAUAAAAACGAUCUUCCUAUGGGACUUUCCAAAUGUGAAGAAAGUCAAAUCACCUAUUCCUUAAUAACAGUGCAUUGAAUGUGUUGCACGUGUCCAUUGGACCCUUUGGAUCCACUAGACUAACUACAGUAGGUAUUCUUUCGUGUUCUAAUCAACUAUAUUCUUUCGUGUUCUAAUCAAGUAUAUCCUAAUUUUGAUGAACUUCACACGGAUGAAAACAUACCAUUUUCAACGAUGGCUUUAGCAGAAGUAGAAUCGGAUCUUCCUGAUCCGCCAUGUCAGCCACAAUAUUCCAAUCGAUCUCCUUAUCCCGAGGAAAUGCAAAUGAAUGACCAGCAGACUCCAGCAGGGGCAUUACCAUUCCAGGAUGUUCCAUUCCCUGUUGUAGGUAAUUCAAAUUGCUUGCAGGAUUGCAAUCGGCACUCUCAAUUGCAAACUCCAAUGGACGUAGAUCACUCAGUUGUAUCACAGCGUAGAAUCGACUCUCACAUUAAUGAGGCAACAAUCGUUGAUUUGCAAGUUCCAGAGGUGACAACGAUUACAAUAAGCCCAUCAUCAUCACAAGGUGUGUCUUGAUUUAUCUAUGUAGAUACUGUCAUUUGGUUAGAUCCUUAAAUAUCUAACAUAUUUAUUUUUAUAAAAUAGACAUGAACAACGGUUCUCCAACCAUGAACGCAUGGAGGACACCCCAAACUCGAAGAUGUAUAAAAUGGACUACGCAAGAGGACAGGGCGGUCGACAUUGCAAACCUCCCAUUAGAUGGUGCAACAAGUUACUCAAGGGCAUCUACCCCGCUAUCUUCAAUCCACCCCGAUUCGCCACAUGAUCUGUUGCCCAAUUUAAGUCAGUCUCUAACAUUAAAUGCAGAACAGAAUCCGACCGCGCCAUUGCCAUCGCAAAACCGCCUGCUCCAUGGUAACACUUCUCAGAAUGAGUCACAGGGGUCCAUUUUCCCUGGUGCCAUUGCAUCAGGUGCUCGACUCACUAACAUGGCCCCAACCAACGCUCCUCAGUAUUCUAAUCAACCACAUCAGAGCUUUCACAGGCAGUGUGGACAUGGCACUGGUUUAUCUGCUCCACGGGAUCCCAUGGACACAGAGCCACCUAUUUCAUCACAACCUGGAUCUCCCAUUGUUGAGGGCCGCAAUUUCCUUCCGCAGAUUUCAGAGGACAUCAUAAAUACAACUGGCCCAUCAACAUCAGAAGGUAUAAUACUAUCGAUCUAUUAAAUGGGUCUCGUUGACCUGCCUCAUCACAUUUUGUUAAGUAUACUUACUAAGGAAAUACUUUUCUUCUCAAUGCAUUGAUUACUCAUAAUACAAGAGGGACAAUGCAUUAAUAAUUACAAACUUUCCUUAAUUGGUAAUUACCAUUCAUGUGGUCUGUUUACAAACACCUCGUUGCUUUGUUAUGGUGAGUAAGAAUGUUUCGAUCAGAGUCUAAUGCGUGAAGUUGUGGCUUAUAAAUUAGUGAUGCCGAAAGGUGCACCAGUAGGGGCAUCAUCAUUCCAGUGUGAUCAAUUACUUGGUGUAGGUAAUUCAAAUCUGGAUUGCAAUCAGCCACGUAUAUCUAGUGUAACAAGUGUAACCAACACUGUCCCGCAUUCUAACCGACCACUUCCAUGCUGCAAUGGAGAAUGUGGAACUGAAACCAGUUCGUUUCCCUCGCAAGAUUCGAGGGGCAUAUGUCCCGUAACUGCAUUACAGCCUACCAGCGGCCCUCACAUCGAGGCAACACUCGUCAAUUUGCAAGUUCUGGAGAAUGGAGCAAAUAUGGCUGGUCCAUCACUAUCACAAGGUACUUCUUGAUUUACCUAAAUAGAGACUGUCACUCCAAAUUAAUCAUAGGUAUUCCAGCUCGAGUGAGCAUUGAUGCUUUCAUUGCAGAAGUAGCCUUCCUUGUAUUAUUAACUCUCUCUAGUAUAACUCAAAUUCAUCUAUUUCCAUACCUGAUCUUGUCUCAAUUACUGUGGUAUCGUUGCAUAUUAUGCAUGUCCGAUGUCACUUACUUUACUGCACGGUUUCUUUCAUCAAGAUAUUUAAGCCGUGCAUGUUGAUUUUCAUUGUGGAUGUUUUUUGUGACCAAGUUGUGUGUUGUUUUACCUGUAUGCAUGGACACUCCAAUAUUUUAGUGCAACCAGCUUUGGUGCCCCCUCAACAUCAAAGCGUUUCACAUCAAUUCAUUAGUCCUAGACAAGGAAUGCGCAGCAGAAUCCAACAGGGCUAUCAUCGUCACAGAAAAAUCAUAUAGUCCCAUGUCACCCACAAGCUCCAAUGAACAUGGAUCCCUGUAUCCUCUCAUCAUCACAAGCUCCAAAUAAUGCUCCUCCACGUCCUCAGAUUCAACGUCGUGGAAUAGGCCUGAUGGGCCCAUCAUCAUUACCGGGUAUAUAGUUAUUUACCUAUAUUAAUCCUUAUGUAUCACCAUGUUACGUUAUUAGGGAAGCAAGAAUGCUAUAAUGAGACCGAAGGAUUUAAUUGCAGAAUUAGAUAUGAACAAGGGCGUGCCAUUGACGAGUCAUACAAACAUAGACAACAACUUUGAAAAGAGUAGCCAUUUGAAAAGAAAAAUAAAGCGACUCUACAGUAGAGAAGCUGACAUAAAGGAUGAGUUAAAAUUUGCCGCGUCUCUAUCCCUAAAGAAGCCGAGAAUGGAAGUUAAGAAUUGGUUGGCAGAUGUGGAGAAUCUUAGAAAUGAUUUUCAUGGUAUUGAAGCAACAAGUGAAAAUUGUUUGCCGCCACACCAGCAGGUUGUACUGAUGCAAGAAGCAGAAGAACUUAUAAAACAAAGCAAAUUCCUAGAAGGACUAUUUGUGGCGAGAGAGACCAGAGUCAAUAAGUUGUUAGAACGAAAGUUGGUGGGAAAGGCAUUUCAAAGAAAUACAGCAGAGAUUUUGGAGUACUUAGUGGAGAAGCAAAUAUCCCGACUAGGCAUUUAUGGAAUGGGGGGUGUUGGUAAAACGACUCUUAUGAUGCACAUACAUAAUAGACUCCUCGAAAAAGCAAACUAUGGCAAUGUGCUGUGGAUCACCGUGUCACAGGAUUUUAACAUAGAGAAGUUGCAGGACAACAUUUGGGAGGCACUACGUUUAGACAUACCACGAGAAAAGGAUGUGAAGAAACAAGCAGCAAUGUUGUCCGAUUGUUUAACCAAAAUAGAGAAGUUGACAAUAAUCCUCGAUGAUGUGUGGGAACAUUUUGAUCUUGAAAAGGUGGGAAUCCCUAUUAGAGCCAAUGGACUUAAGCUGGUCGUAACCACUCGAUCCUCUAGUGUUUGCAGCCAGAUGCAUUGUCAAGAGAAGAUAAAAAUUGAACCUCUAUCUCAAGAAGAAGCUGAGAGUUUAUUUUUUGAGGAGCUUGGAUCCGAAGUGGCCUUUAAUUUGGAAAUUAAAGCAAUUGUGAAGUCCAUUGUUAAAGAAUGUGCAGGCUUGCCGCUUGGAGUCAUCACGAUGGCAACAAGUAUGCGAGAAGUGACUAAUAAGUUUGAAUGGAAUGAUUGCUUGGAGAAAUUGAAUGAAUCGGAUAUGAGGCAAAUAGAUAUGGAAAAGAAAGUCCUAAUGAUUCUAAAAUUCAGUUACGAUCGCCUUGGGAAUUGUGAAGUUCAACAGUGUUUCUUAUCUUGUGCACUUUAUCCAGAAGAUCAAUUGAUUGGUAGGAUCGAGUUGAUAGAAUUCUUUAUUGACCAAGGAUUGAUUGGUGGAUUGAAUACGAGGGAGAAACAAUAUGAUAGAGGCCUCACUAUACUGACCAAACUGGAAAAUGUUUGUCUAUUGGAAGCUUAUAAGAAAAGUGAUUUUCCACAGAGAGAUUAUGGGGAAGGGAUGAAGAUGCACGAUUUGAUUAGAGACAUGGCAUUGCACAUCAUGAAUGCGACUUCGAUNNNNNNNNNNNNNNNNNNNNNNNNNNNNNNNNNNNNNNNNNNNNNNNNNNNNNNNNNNNNNNNNNNNNNNNNNNNNNNNNNNNNNNNNNNNNNNNNNNNNNNNNNNNNNNNNNNNNNNNNNNNNNNNNNNNNNNNNNNNNNNNNNNNNNNNNNNNNNNNNNNNNNNNNNNNNNNNNNNNNNNNNNNNNNNNNNNNNNNNNNNNNNNNNNNNNNNNNNNNNNNNNNNNNNNNNNNNNNNNNNNNNNNNNNNNNNNNNNNNNNNNNNNNNNNNNNNNNNNNNNNNNNNNNNNNNNNNNNNNNNNNNNNNNNNNNNNNNNNNNNNNNNNNNNNNNNNNNNNNNNNNNNNNNNNNNNNNNNNNNNNNNNNNNNNNNNNNNNNNNNNNNNNNNNNNNNNNNNNNNNNNNNNNNNNNNNNNNNNNNNNNNNNNNNNNNNNNNNNNNNNNNNNNNNNNNNNNNNNNNNNNNNNNNNNNNNNNNNNNNNNNNNNNNNNNNNNNNNNNNNNNNNNNNNNNNNNNNNNNNNNNNNNNNNNNNNNNNNNNNNNNNNNNNNNNNNNNNNNNNNNNNNNNNNNNNNNNNNNNNNNNNNNNNNNNNNNNNNNNNNNNNNNNNNNNNNNNNNNNNNNNNNNNNNNNNNNNNNNNNNNNNNNNNNNNNNNNNNNNNNNNNNNNNNNNNNNNNNNNNNNNNNNNNNNNNNNNNNNNNNNNNNNNNNNNNNNNNNNNNNNNNNNNNNNNNNNNNNNNNNNNNNNNNNNNNNNNNNNNNNNNNNNNNNNNNNNNNNNNNNNNNNNNNNNNNNNNNNNNNNNNNNNNNNNNNNNNNNNNNNNNNNNNNNNNNNNNNNNNNNNNNNNNNNNNNNNNNNNNNNNNNNNNNNNNNNNNNNNNNNNNNNNNNNNNNNNNNNNNNNNNNNNNNNNNNNNNNNNNNNNNNNNNNNNNNNNNNNNNNNNNNNNNNNNNNNNNNNNNNNNNNNNNNNNNNNNNNNNNNNNNNNNNNNNNNNNNNNNNNNNNNNNNNNNNNNNNNNNNNNNNNNNNNNNNNNNNNNNNNNNNNNNNNNNNNNNNNNNNNNNNNNNNNNNNNNNNNNNNNNNNNNNNNNNNNNNNNNNNNNNNNNNNNNNNNNNNNNNNNNNNNNNNNNNNNNNNNNNNNNNNNNNNNNNNNNNNNNNNNNNNNNNNNNNNNNNNNNNNNNNNNNNNNNNNNNNNNNNNNNNNNNNNNNNNNNNNNNNNNNNNNNNNNNNNNNNNNNNNNNNNNNNNNNNNNNNNNNNNNNNNNNNNNNNNNNNNNNNNNNNNNNNNNNNNNNNNNNNNNNNNNNNNNNNNNNNNNNNNNNNNNNNNNNNNNNNNNNNNNNNNNNNNNNNNNNNNNNNNNNNNNNNNNNNNNNNNNNNNNNNNNNNNNNNNNNNNNNNNNNNNNNNNNNNNNNNNNNNNNNNNNNNNNNNNNNNNNNNNNNNNNNNNNNNNNNNNNNNNNNNNNNNNNNNNNCGCCGUAUUCCUUAUCUAGGGAAGCUCAUAUCUUUAAGAAAGUUGGAUGCCAGUAACUGUGCGCGUCUUGAAGCGCUUGAGGGUCUAGACAAGUUGGUGAACUUGACAUACCUUGACCUUAUCAAAACACAUAAUGCGAGAUUGCCCAAAGGAACACUGGAGUGUUUACUAAACUUGCAAUGUCUUAAAGUUUCGGCAAUAAAUGAAGAAACAAAAUUGGGGACAUUGGAGACAUUUGAAUGCUACUCUGAAAAUGCGGAUGAUUUUAACAAGUGUGUGAGGGCUAUUGGGCAAAGUAAUAAUCCUCUCUAUUACGGCCUCAACAUGAAUAUAGAAAAAUCAAACUUUAUUGUGGAAGUAAGUGAUGAUACUCGAUUUCGGAAUUUGGGGAGGAGCGUCAACAUUGGGGAGUGGGGUCAUGCUAUUUUGAGCGUGGGAGGGGAAUGCACUGGCAUUUUUAUUUUGAUUCCCCGAAAUGUGCAGACGAUGAGAAUGGGAAAAUGCAAGGGUAUAACAAAUUUGUCUAGCAUGGAUCCGCUUAAAUACCUUGAGGACCUAGAAAUAGAAGAAUGGGAAAACUUAGAGGUGCUCUGUGGAGGACAAGACGAAGAAGUAAUCGACGUCCCGGCCCCAACCCUCACCCCUCACCCCUUCUCGAGCCUUAUAUUUUUGAAAAUAAAGGAAUGUUCAAAACUGAAGUAUCUCUUUGGACAUGGGUCUAAAUCCAACCUUCCGCAUCUACAAGUUAUUGGAAUAGCGAAUUGUAAGGAAAUGGUGGGGAUAAUAGCAGCAGUUACAUCCCCACCACCACAUUCGCUCCCAUUUUUGCCUAGUCUGGAAGGUAUUAUUGUUUGGGGCUGUGGUAAAAUGAAGAGAGCGGUGGAAUCUGAGUGGAUGCCCCACUUCCCUAAGCUGAGAAACAUUGUAGUAUACAAAUGUGAGAAGAUGGAGGAGAUAAUCAGAGGUCCUCCUAAAUGCGUGCCGGUUGAAGGGAUUUCUCUCUAAUCUCUUAAGGUAGUACAUUGCGGUAGCAUGAGAAAGCUGCUUCCGCAUGAGUGGCUGCUCCAUCUUCGAAAUCUUCGAUGUAUCUAUGUCAAUGACUGCCGAGGAAUGGAGAAGAUGAUAUGCGGAGCGGGACAAGGUCAAGAAAGAAGCAUAACGACUCCUGUCAACAGCACCCCUUCAUCCUUCCUGCCUCCAAUUUCUCUCCCAAAGCUAGAGCAGUUGAAUCUAUCCGAACUACCCCAGCUAAAGAGCAUAUGCGAAUUCCCAAUAAGCUGCAAUUCCAUGGAAGAGUUGUUUGUGUACGAUUGCCCAGAAUUGAGGGGGAUUCCUUUGCAAUUGCGAUUGCGUGAAAUUGAGAAGCUUCCGCAUAUUUGGGUGGAAGAUGAGGAAAGGUGGAAGACGCUGAUGUGGGAUCAUCCCGAUGCUCAGGCUAUUCUUCAACCUCAUCUAAAAAAAAAGGGAUACCCUAGAGGUUAAUGAGUUUAAUUGAUAUAUGAUUGCUUCACUUCUUAAAAGUCGUUGCAAAGAUGUAGCUUUUCUGUCUAUAUAGUCAUGCAGCUCUCAUAGUGGCCUUUUGCAGAACUUUUCGCCAAGGGAAUGGUUCUCCUGUGACUCUGCUCUUGAAGAAAGCCUUGUUGCUCAACCGUGCUUUCCUGCAAACUCGACUCAGGUUGCCAUAUGAAUUGACCUUUUCUGUGUGGCCAUGCUUUGUCUAUUUUGAAUGCGAUCACAUGUUUUAUUGACUACUAGAAAUAAGUGAAUCUGGUCGAUAUUUCAGGUUAGUCAAAAAGCAACGGAUCUGAAGAUUUGGGAAGCCAAGGGAAUAGCAAAGCCUGUUUCCUAUCUUGUCUUAUAACUGAAAGGACAAGUUAUUAUUAUGGAUUUAUCUCCUUGGGAUAUUAGCCUUCUAAGAAAAGAGGGAAUUUUGUGCAGCACUACCUUUAAUCUGUUUUUGUUUAGAAAGGAUUUCAAAUAUGAUAUUGCUUUAACUUGUCGAUCGAAAAUAUUGUGUCAAAUACGCUGCUUCCCUCUGUUGGAUCAGAGCAACAUGACCCCGAUUAAACUUGUUUCGACAUUAAACUAUCGGGUAUAGAAUACUUGAUCUGCUUAGUAGUUGUAUCAUAUCUGGAAACGUAGGCUGGGAAGUUUUCUCUUCACCCGUUGUCAUACUUUGAGUUAGAAAUGUAAAAAGACGAAGAAGAAAGAAUUGCAUAGUUAUCGCCCCUCUUUAAAUGCCUCAAAGUUGUGGAUAGAUGGAGAAACCUACAGCUUCAGCUCAAGUUACCAAAAAUUAGAGCAGUAACCACUAGCAAGUCAAUGGAAAAAGGGCCAGCUUAUAGGACGUGGCACUUUUGAAAGUGUUUACAUUGCAAGCAACCAGUAAGUUAGCUCUGGGAAUCUUAGACACGUUCCAUUUUUUAAGAUAUCCAGUCAGCUAAACUUUGACAUAUUAAGUGACAGAAAAACCGGAUCUCUAUGUGCACGGAAGGAGUUUGAGCUAUCGCCUAAUGAUCCAAAUUUAGCUGAGUGCAUCAAGCAGUUAAAGCAGGUAAUGUUUUUGUUAUGCUCUGGGAUCCAAUCUAUUCUCUCAUCUGAUCUAAAUAUGCUGGGAGGAAACUUUCUUUCAUCAUUUCCAGGUAAUUGAUUGUUACUACAGGAAAUUCAGGUACUUAGCCAGCAUAGACAUCCGAACAUUCUGCAGUAUUAUGUCAGGGAAAUUGUGAGUCACAUUUCCACAGCACCUAUGCAUCCCAGCUCAAUGGGCGUUCAUUAUUUGACUCGCCAAAAUUUCAACAUAUUCAUACGUACUCAGGUUGAGGAUUGGCUUUACGUAUAUCUAGAAUAUGCACAUCACGAUUCAAUAGACAAGUAUAUCCAAGAGCGUCUUGGGACCCUAACAGACUCGGUUGUCCACACUUUACCCACUAUAUUGUGGCUGGAUUGGCUUCCCUGCAUGUUAACAACUCCAUACAUGGGUAAUUCUAAACCAUUGAUCAAGCAUCAUGAGAUGGCUUGUGCAGGGAUUUAAAGGGAGCUAAUUUAUUUGUGGAUGCAUCUGGGAUAUUCAAACUUGCUGACUUUGGAAUUGCUAAACAUGUGAGUUUUUACCUCUUCACUGCAAGACAACUCAGUGCAUGUAGAAAUUACUUGAUGAUCUGUGGUGCAUUCGAAUGUGAAGUCAGGGACCCAGGGUGACUGCGAACUUCUCAUUAUUGGUUUGUGGCAUUUCAUAUGUGCAAAAAUCUAUCACAGGUGGAUGAAAUGUUAUUAAGUAAUUUUCUUCACUUUUUUUCCCAUUGUUUCAGGUAAAGUUACCAUGUUGCAUAAACAGGAAAAGAUUUCUUGCUUUAAAUAGAUGCCGAAACCUAAUGAGAGUUCUUUCCCUUUCUACUGGUUUCUAAAAAGUUCCUAAGAGCAGUAGUGAAUAGAACGCAAUACCUUUGGCAAAAGGUUGUGGUGUUGUUUUUGCUGCUCCUCUGCAUUCCAAAAUAGGAUAGAAUUUAGUCAGAGUAAGCAAGGGCCUCCUUCCUAACAUGGGGUAAAUAAAAGUGUAUUGAUCCAUAGAAUGGAAUUCUGGAUAGUAGCCAAGGUGUUGUUGCUCUCUUUUUGAGUUCUCAAGCAUUUGCUGAGGUCAUGUUGUUGAUUGCUUCAAGUUGAAAGUGGUUGAUUCAGUAAUCAAUCUGAUGUAUCUAUGUCUAUAAAGAUGUUGCUAUUUUAUCCAGUGUUCCAUGAACACACCAAGUAGUCUUCAGCUUUACUAAUGCUGUACCAUUUCUUAGCUAACCGGACAAGCAGCUUGCUGCUCUUUGAAGGGAAGUCUAAACUGGAUGGCUCUAGAGGUACUCUGCUUUUGUUAACGUUAAUGCGGCAUUCUUUUUUAGUUGUGGCGGAAUGAUGGAAUAAUAUGUCUUGCAACUCAUACAAUCCUUGAUGGUGAAUAAUUACAGCACGGAUCUCAAUCAUACUGCCGACAUGUGGAGUUUGGGAUGUACUAUUACCGAAAUGAUUACUGGGAAACCUCCUUGGACUAUGAGUGAGUAAGUACGCUGCACUGUUUUUUUUUUUUUUCAUUUUCUCUCUAUCCUUCCUGGUAAUACGCUUCCAAGCAAAUCUGUGUUGUCGUUUUCUGUUGGAAGUUCGGGCCAUGCGCAUUACCAUUUGGUGUGUGAUCUGUGUCAUGAGUUUCUAUUUAAGGUUGAAUUAUUAAUGCAGGCUCAAGCUAUAUUUAAGGUGAUGCGAAGUUCUCCAGUAAUACCUGAGACGUUAUCUGCCGAGGGAAAGUAGCUGCGGAGAGGCCUUCUGCUGCUAUGCUACUUGAGCAUGCUUUCCUGCAAAUUUGAAGUUGCAAAUGAUUGACUUAUUUCAAGUGUUGUACGUUGUCGCAAAAGGGAUUUGUUGUCCUGUAAAGUUCCAUAUUUACUAAACCAAAAGGAUCACACGGUCCAUAGAUGUGAUGAAGUACUUGUAUAUUGACAAAAUAAGGCACAUACUUCUCUUGCAUGGUCUGACUGGCGGCAUACCAAUCUAGGCAAUUUGACAGUGUUGCUUAAUCUAAACCUUUUACUGCAUAGUGCAUUCUUACCAAAAACAUUUUGUACGAAGUACAUUUAUUCAUCAAAAUGGAAUGGUAUUGAUUUGGCUCCAAAUAAGCAAUAGGUCACGAAACACAAGCAAGAAAACCCAGAAAAGAAAAAAGAAAAAGAAAACCGAAGCUAUAGUGCAUCAGAAUUCCUAAACUCAUUUUGAAAGUAAAUACUUUGUCGGUUUGGUGGGAGAAACAUUGGCAAGUUUGGCAAACCUGCAAUGUCUUCGGAUUGCGGUAGUGAAGGGAGUAGUAUCGAAAUUAUGGGCAUUGGAGGCUCUUGAUUCUUCCCUUCAACAGUGUCGUUGAUCUCAAUAAAUACAUGAGAUUUCUCCAACCAAAAUGGCCCUCAUCAUAUUGUCACCAAAUUCCAGUGAAUCAAGAAAAGCCAUUGUGGUCUGCUUGCAAAUGUAAAUGAUCAUGAUGAUCCAAGAUUUGCAGCUUCCGAGAGGGGAAUUCACGUCGAUUGUUGCGAUUAUGCUCUUGUCAGGGCAGUAGGGGAAAGUCUUUCGCCUGAUGGUUUUGCUCCCAAGUGAUGCUGCAAGUUUGCCGUAUUUUCCCCUUAGGGUUGUUUGUCAUUUUGUGGAACAUUUUUAGAAUAAUUUUGCAUCCCGUGUCUAUAAAAUGCAAAUAGCCGAUGAAAUCUAUUGAAAACAUCUCAAGCUAUUCAUUUACGAGAUUUUAAUGGUUCUUAUAUGUAUAUAAUUUACCUUCCCUUACUUGUUCAAAUUUUUAGGUUGGACUUUCACUUAUGUGAAAAUAGCAAUUUGUGCGUGAAUUGCAAAGCAAACAUACUUCCUUUUUUUCUAUUUUUUUUCUACAAUUAAAGUGAUUCCUCUAUCCUAAUGCAUACCGGAAAUAUAUGAUAUGAAUGACAAAGUGUAACAGAAAAAUAAACUCCUCGAAAUUUUGCAAAGUCGGAGGCGCCACUGAGGCCGAGCGAUAUCUCUCGGUUGCAUUGGAUUCUUUCUUCGAUUUCAUUUUCUUUUGUUCUUUUCCUCAUUUUUGAACCAACAGCCUAACCAUGAGGCGCCUUUUCUCUUCUGUCCCUUAUCUGUACUCCUUUUCUUUCGUACAACUCGUUCUUCUUUCGCUGCUUUUUGGAUUUUUUUUUCUUGGUGUCCUCUGCCCAAACCCUUAAUGAAGACAACUAAUCGGUGUUUAGUUUUCCAAAGUGUAGCAUUAUUGAGCACCAUCAUCGACCAUCAAGUUCGCUAAACUCAGUCAUCAAUUAACUAACUGUUCUUGUUAAACAGGAGCUGCACCAACGNNNNNNNNNNNNNNNNNNNNNNNNNNNNNNNNNNNNNNNNNNNNNNNNNNNNNNNNNNNNNNNNNNNNNNNNNNNNNNNNNNNNNNNNNNNNNNNNNNNNAGAUCCAAACUACAUAUGAAACUGGACUCGUAAUUGGGAAAACAUGAAUUUAGCAUAUUAUACAUUGCUCCUAAAUAAUUUUAUGCACAUGCCAAAUAACAAGUACAUGUAUAAGUUAAGGCAAAUAGGUCUUUAGCAAAUUGACAAUGCAGAAACCGAGAGAGCGUAUGAAGUGAUCUUUGCAUUUUUGAAACUCUGUUAGUGUACAUUCUAGUAGUUUUCCCUUGUCAAAAUAUACUGAUUUUCAACUUUCGCUGAAAUGUCACACGUUCAAUUGGGGGAGAAUAUGAUCGAUAGUCCUAAUUAGCCAAGUCACAAAACCAAUCAUAUAUUUAAAUAGUUCAGAAAUCUUUCUGUUCAUUCUAAUUAAUAAUCGCAUCAAAGAAUUUUUCCCUAAACCUUUAUAUUCAGUCAUAGUUACUACUUUUCAGUUCACUCUUUGAAAGAUUCCCAUGAUCUCUUCAAAUAAAUUAAAAUACAAUUCAGGGUUAGUGGUCGUAACUUUAUCUAUUAGGUAUAUAGCUUAAUGCUCAUUUUGAAUGAGGGCAAAAGGUCACCCCGUUUACAUUCACGUGUUUGUCACAUUGUGAUGGGAAAAUGGGAACGAAAUGCAAGUUCAGAGGCACAGGAUGCAACUUUCUAAAUUUCCAUUUUCAAAUGCAUUGGGUUCCCUUUUCCCCAGUCAUCUCUUCUUAAUCAUCCCGGUGCAAGGACAGGACUUUCCCUGGACAGUGAUGCACAACAAGCCAUUAUCAUUGUACUGAAGUGAAUCUGUUUCCUUUGAUCGUGGACGAUUCUAUGCUCCCGAAAUCGGGGUAAUAUAUGAUGGGGUGCGCUCUAUUUGCUUGCAGGUUCGUAACAAAGAGGAUAUAGCUUGGAAAUUCGUCAAUAGAUUGGAGGACAGCAAAUGGCGUUGUUAUUACUGCCGUGGAGAAUUCUUUAAAGACCUUACAGGAGUGAAAGGUCACUUGCUUGGAGUCCCAAAUGAAGGGAUUUCCAUUUGCACACAAGUGCCGGACCAUGUAAGAAAGAUAAUGCAGUCGUUACAAGAUGAGAUGGCUGAAGAAGAGAGCAGGGGAGCCAAUGGUCAAUCCUCCGCGGAACCACAGUCACGUGGCAUGCCCGCUCAAGCUGAGGUGGCUGAAGAAGAGAGCAGAGAGGCCAACGGUCAAUCCUUCACAGAACCACAGUCACGGGGCAUGCUGCCUCAACCUGAGGUGGCUGAAGAAGAGAGCAGAGAAGCCAACAUUCAAUCCUCCACGGAAACACAAUCCCGCGACAUGCCCACUCAAGCUGAGGUGGUGGCUGAAGAAGAGAGCAGAGAAGCCAACGGUCAAUUUUCCAGGGUCUGUUGAAUAUUAAUCUGCAGUUUUGCUUUCCUGCUUUACUACUUGUGGAUGCUAUUAUUUGCUUGAGAAUAAUGCUAUGCGCAUUAGGAAAAUGUACACAAGAUUGAUAGGUUAUAUAAUCGGGCGUGCUCUCUUUGCCUGCAUGUUGAUAAUCAAAAUGACAAGAUGCCGCGAGUUAAAGAUGCCGUGAGUUAAAGAAAUAGCCUGGAAAUUCGUGAUUAGACUGGAGGGCGAGAAAUGGUGUUGUCCUUACUCUGGAAAAGUUACAAGAGUGAAAAGUCACUUUCUUAAACAUUCAAACAGAGGCAUUUCUCCUUGUAAAAAAGUGCCGGAGCACAUAAGCAUGCUAAUGGAUUGGUUACACAAUCAGGUGCCUUUAAUGCUUGUGGUAGCUACAUUGUUUGCCUGAGAAUGAUGCUAGCGUGCUAAGAAGAUUUAUGAAAAAUGGGGAUAAUAUAUGAUGGGGUGUCGCUCUAUUUGCUUGCAGGAUCGUAACAAAGAGGAUAUAGCCUGGAAAUUUGUUGAUAGACUGGAGGACAACAAAUGGCGUUGUCAUUACUGCCGUGUAGAAUUCUUUGGAGACCUUAUGGGAGUGAAAGGUCACUUGCUUGAAGGGAUUUCCAUUUGCACGGAAGUGCCGGACCACAUAAGAAAGCUAAUGCGGUCAUUACUCGAUGAGGUGGCUGAAGAAGAGAGCAGAGAAGCCCACGGUCAAUCCUCCGUCGAACCAAAUUCCCGUGACAUGCCGAGUCAAGUUGAGGUGGCUGAAGAAGAGAUUAGAGAGGCCAACCGUCAAUUUUCCACGGAACCACAGUCGCGUGACAUGCUGUCUCCAGCUGUUCCUCGGUCAUCACAAAGCUUGGAAGAUACAGAAAACUUAUUCACAACAACAGAGUGGGCGACUGACUUGGAAAACUUAGACUAUGACCUAGAGCGUCAUUUUCUUGAGACUUUGGCAAUGCCGCCACCGGCGCAAAAUAUUCAUGGUAUGUUCAUGUGAAGUUUCUAUACAUGCAUCUAGGCAUGGAGAAAAAACAUAUAUUAUAUUCAAACACGUCGGGUUUUUUAACCAAAGUGGAGACUUUUAAAUAUCUUCUAUAAAAACGAUCUUCCUAUGGGACUUUCCAAAUGUAAAGAAAGUCAAAUCACCUAUUCCUUAAUAACAGUGCAUUGAAUGUGUUGCACCUGUCCAUUGGACCCAUUGGAUCCAAUAAACUAACUACAGUAGGUAGUCUUUUAUGUUCCAAUCAACUAUAUCCUAAUUUUGAUGAACUUCACGCAGAUGAAAACAUACCAUUUUCAACGAUAGCUUUAGCAGAAGUAGAAUCGGAUCUUCUUGAUCCGCCAUGUCAGCCACAAUAUUCCAAUCGAUCUCUUUAUCGCGAGGAAAUGCAAAUGAAUGACCAGCAGACUCCAGCAGGGGCAUUAUCAUUCCAGUAUGUUCCAUUACCUGCUGUAGGUAAUUCAAAUUGCUUGCAGGACUGCAAUGACUCUCAAUUGCAAACGCCAGUGGACGUAGAUCCCUCAAUUGCAUCACAGCGUACAAAUCACAUUACUGGGGCACAAAUCAAUUAUUUGAAAGUUCCAGAGGCAGCAACAAAUACAACAGGCCCAUCAUCAUCACAGGGUUUGUAUGGAUUAAUCUACAUUGCUACUAUGGUUAUAUUAGAUACUUGAAUAUCUCCAUAUUAUUUUAUUGAAAUCUAACAUAUGAUUUUUUAAACAAGAUAGGAACAUGGAUUAUCCAAUCAAGAACAUGCUGAGCAUCAUUGCAUAUUCUAUUUGUCUGAUAUCAGUUUUUAUCACACCAUUACUUUCUUCAAAAUAUUUAACUCUAAUGCGGUCGUUACUCGAUGAAGUGACUGAAGAAGAGAGCAGAGAGGUGGCUGAAGGACAAAGCAGAGAAGCCAACCGUCAAUCCUCCACGGAACCACAAUCACGUGACAUGCCUGUAAGACAAAAUAAUUUAUAUACAGAAGCCAGGAUCAAUUAAAGACAAACCUCCAGCCAUUGUUUUGUUCACAUUCGUCAGAAAACCUGAAAUCAAAGAAAAUUGGGGACACUCUACUACCCAAUUCACUCUCGUACUGAUGGUGUAUUCUGAAUGAGAGGGUUUGAGUUAGACAUUGUCAUCAUCCGUCAGAAAUGAACGUACGUUCCUAUUUAUACACUGUCUCCCAUCAAGACGGGCGGUUGUCACCAAAUGGUACGAAGCGUGGAAAACUUUAUGUUGAACAGUCGCAACCUUUAGAGAAAAUAAAUGUGGGAUCAUAAAAAUAAAUAACAUUCUCCCACUUGAUCCCAUCAUUUUCAUUAUACAGAUUAUCCAACUAAUUCCACAAAAACUUUAUGCUUAAAGAAAAGAAACAAAACACAUGGAUCAUGGCGACAUGUCCUCUAAGAGUGAGUAAUAUCUUCCAUGUAUCACAAUGCACCUUAUUUCUUUAAUGUCAGCCUAUAUGUGACAACAAAUCUUAAUGAAUAAACCCCAUGUUUAUUCCAAAACCAAUGAUAAAUGUUAUUCUCAUAAACAACAAAAUGUGUACACAAAAAUUGAGAAUCAACAUUACAACUGAAUAAGAGUUUCAUACAACAAAAAUCGUUCAUAUAACGACAAAUUACAUAAUGGGACCUAUUCCCAUACUAGUUACAUGAUCCUUAUACUUCAUUGGUGGCAUGCCUUUAGUUAAAGGAUCGGCUAUCAUCAAUUCAGUGCUAACGUGUUCAAUGACCACUUUAUUCUCCUUAACACGUUCCCUUAUGGUUAAAUACUUAAUGUCGAUAUGCUUACUUUGACUGCCACUUUUGGCAUUUUUAGCCAUAAAAACCGUAGCUGAAUUGUCACAAUAUAUUCUUAAUGGCCUAGAAAUUGAAUCAAUAAUUCUAAGCCCAGCAAUGAAACUCUUCAACCAUACACCAUGCGAGGUAGCCUCAAAACAAGAAACGAACUCAGCCUCCAUAGUGGAAGUAGCAGUCAAAGUCUACUUGGCAUUUCUCCAUGACACGGCUCCGCCAGCUAAUAUAAAAAUGUAUCAAGAUGUUGAUUUUCGUGAAUCAAUGUAUCCCGCAAAGUCCGCAUCCGAAUAACCAACCACUUCCAGGUUGUCAGUCCGUUUAUACAUAAGCAUAUAGUCUUUGGUACCUUGAAGGUAUCUCAUCACUUUCUUUGCAGCUCUCUAGUGGUCUAAACCUGGAUUACUCUGAUAUCUUCCCAACAUUCCCACAGCAAAAGCGAUGUCAGGUCGAGUGCAAACCUGAGCAUACAUUAAGCUUCCAACAACAGAAGCAUAUGGAAUGUUGUGCAUUUGUUCCCUUUCUAGAUCGUUCUUCGGGUAUUGGUUCAAAUUGAACCUGUCACCCUUCACAAUGGGUGCUAUACUUGGUGAACAAUCUUUCAUCCGAAAUCUCUCUAGAACCUUAUUGAUAUAGGUUUCUUGAGAUAGUCCUAAAAUGCCUCGAGGUCCAUCUCUAUGGAUCUUAAUGCCAAUGACAUAAGAUGCCUCACCCAUAUCCUUCAUGUCAAAACUCCUAGAGAGAAAUUGUUUCACCUUAUGUAGCAACCACUUAUCAUUGGUUACAAGUAGUAUAUCAUCCACAUACAGUACAAGGAAACAAAUUUUGCUCACACUGACCUUCUGGUAUAUACAUUGAUCCAUGACAUUCUCUACAAAACCGAAUGAAGAGAUGACUUCAUGGAACCUUAAGUACCAUUGGCGGGAUGCUUGUUUCAAGCCAUAUAUAGAUUUCUUAAGUUUGCACACCAAAUGCUCACCUUUACUAGAGGAGAAUCCUUCAGGUUGUUUCAUGUAAACCUCCUUCUCUAGUUCUCCAUUGAGGAAUGCUGUUUUCACAUCCAUCUGAUGUAAUUCCAUAUCAAAAUGGGCAAUCAAAACCAAAACAAUACGAAGAGAAUCUUUCUUAGAUACAGGAGAAAAAGUCUCCGUGUAGUCGAUUCCUUCCUUUUGAGUGAAUCCUUUGGCAACAAGUCUAGCUUUAUAUCUUUCAAUGUUACCCAAUAAAUCAUUCUUAGUUUUGAAGACCCAUUUACAACCAAUGGCCUUCACACCAUUAGGUAACUCAACCAAAUCUUAAACUUUGUUAGAUGCCAUUGAACUCAUUUAUUCCUUCAUGGCAUUGUACCACAAAUUGGAUUUAUCACUAUCCAUGGCUUGUGAAAACGUUUUGGGAUCAUUCUCAGCUCUAAUAUUGUAGUCAAACUCUUGUAAAUACACAAUAUAAUCACUAGGAAUAGCCGAUUUCUUUAUUCUAGAAGAUCUUCUCAAUUUUGCAUCGACAUUCUCUUGAGGUGCGUGUUGCUUAACUAGUUGUUCAACAGUUUCUGGUAAUUAUUGAACAACUGGAUCUACUAGAUCAAUAUCAACAGGUUGUGGAACUUCAACGAUUGGUUGUUCAAUAGCCGGUUGAACUGAAUAGGCAUUAUAAGCAACGACCAACCCUAAACUUGAGGUGGGAGGAUGAAUGUCUGGAUGAUCUUUCUUAGGAACAAGGUCCUUCGAUUGAUCACUCCCACUAAUCAAGUCAUUUUCAAGAAAUUUAGCAUUUCUUGAUUCCACAAUCCUAGUAGUGUGAGAUGGACAAUAAAAUCUGUAUCCCUUAGACCUUUCGGCAUAUCCAAUGAAAUACCCACUUAUGGUCCUUGGGUCCAACUUCUUUUCUUGUGGAUUAUAAACUCUCACUUCAGACGGGCAUCCCCAAACGCGCACAUGAUGCAAACUCGGUUUCCAACAUUUAAAUAAUUCAAAAGGUGUCUUUGGGACAGCUUUGGUCGAAACUCGGUUUAAUAUGUACACUGCCGUCUUAAGUGCUUCAGUCCACAAAGAUUUAGGAAGUUUGGAGCUGCUAAGCAUGCUACGCACCAUGUCCAAUAAGGUCCGAUUUCUUCUUUCCGCUACGCCAUUUUGGUCCGGAGAACCAGGCAUAGUAUAUUGGGCAACUAUCCCAUGCUCUUGAAGAAACCUUGCAAAUGGACUAGGUGCUUGUCCAUCUUCAGUGUAUCUACCAUAGAAUUCUCCACCCCUAUCUGAUCUCACGAUCUUAAUUUGCUUAUCGCAUUGUUUCUCUACUUUCACCUUAAAUACCUUAAAGGCAUCUAAUGCUUCAUACUUAUUAUGAAUCAAAUAGAGAUACAUGUAACGUGAGUAAUCAUUUAUAAAAGAGAUGAAGUAUUUCUAACCACAAGAGUCCAUAUCCGAACUACAAAUAUCCCUGUGUAUGAUUUCUAAUAUUUCUGUACUCCUCUUGGCACCUUUUUUUGUCUUGUUAGUCUGAUUUCCCUUUAUGCAGUCCACACAAGUAUCACAAUCAGUAAAAUCUAAAGUACCGAGUACUCCAUCAUUUACUAAUCGCUUGACUCUUUCUAUGGAAAUAUGUCCCAAUCUCCGAUGCCACAACAUAGAGGAAUGUUCUUUCACAACACAUCGUUUUAUACCAACUUUAUCAUGAACAUGCAUCGCAUCAUAAUAGGCAUUGUCUUGUAAAUUAAUUCGAAAAAGACCAUCAGACAAAAUACUACUCCCAACAAUUUUAAAUUUAAAUGAUAAACAAAAGUUUGAAUCUGAAAAGUUAAAAAAGUAUCCCAAAGGUACAAGUCUUGAAACUGAAAUUAAGUUUCUAGAAAAACUAGGAACAUAAAAGGUCUUUUCCAAAUUUAAAACAAAACCACUAUUGAGAACUAGUCUAUAUGUCCCAAUAGCUUCUACAUGCGAACGCAUCUUAUUUCCUGAAUAGAUGCUUUGUUCACUUCCCACUGGCUUCCUGUGGUUUUGAAAACCCUACAAGGAAUUCGAAAUAUGGAUUGUAGAUCCAGAAUCAAUCCACCAAGUGUUGUGACUUACAUCAAUCAUAUUAGAUUCAUAACAAACACGAGAUUUGAUUACCUUUCUUCUCAAGCCAAGCCUUAAAUUUGACACAAUCCUUCCUUAUAUGCCCCUUCUGUUUAUAAAACAAGCAUUUGGAUUCUUUCUUAAUGUCAGCUUGGGGAGGUAUUUUACCUUUUCCCUUAUGCUUGCCAUAGCCCUUAUUCUUUCCUUGUAUUGUCAAAUGAGCCACUUUCUCCCAAUUCCAUAACCAGUCUUUCUUCGUCUUGAACACACAUGGUCAUGAGUUCAUUAAUAGACCAUUUAUUCUUAUGUGUGUUAUAAGAGAUCUUGAAAGGUGCGUAUUGUUGUGGGAAAGUGUUCAGAAUAUAAUACACAAGGAAGGAUUCAGAUAUCUCAACCUCAAGGUUCUUAAGCUGAGUUGCAAUGUUCCUCAUUUGCAUGAUGUGCUCACGCACACCUCUAACACUAGUGAGCUUCAAUGAUGAAAACUUCAUAAUCAGGGUCAUGGCAUGCGCCUUCUCAGAACUUUCAAAUUGCGCAUCUAUGGCCUCCAAUAAAGCCUUAGCAUUGCUAUGCUGAGCAACCGAACCACAAAUACUAGGAGAUAUCUGAGCUCUUAUAAACAUAGCACAAACAUGGUUGGACCGCUCCCAUUGGUUAUAAAGAGCUAUCUCAGCUAGAGUGCUCGAAUCAGUAGGAGCAGGUGGUUCGUCUUUCCUUAUAGUAUAGUCAAUGUCCAUCCACCCCAAUUGAAGAAGAACCGACUCCUUCCAAACUUUAUAGUUCUCACCAUUCAGUAUGGGAACAUCAAACUUAAAUUCAGAGAAAUUCACAUGUUGCGAAACUGCAUAUCAAAUAAUCAUACUUAUGUCACAAAAUUUGAGGCAAAUAUGUAUAAAUAAAUCAUAUUUUACCAAUGUAAACAUGUCACAAUAUGAAUCACAUAACAUAAAAACUUCAUGUGGGCUAAGUUUUUAAUUUAAAUAGAUUCAUAAUUACUUCAUGAAGAAACUACCAUAUUAUAUGCAUUUUCUUAAUCCCUAUGGGUAAAUUAAGAAAAAUAAUAUGAUAUUUCAUCCUAAUUAAUCAUAUUAAUAUAAUGAAAAUUCAUGUGGGAUAAAAUUCAUCAUAUUAAUAUAAUUAAUUACAAUCAAUGUCCGUUUUUAAAUAUGAUCCGGAGGCUUUUAAUAUAUAAUUUAAUUAAUUAAAGAUGUUGUGGCCACUCUCUAAUUAAUUAAUUAAUUAUAUUGACCAUUGGACAUUUAAUUUCACGCAUAAAAUAUUCAUAACAAUGCAUGAAAUGACAUAAUAUAUAAAUACAUCAAGGGCAUAACAGUAAAUAAAUAAAUUGGCCAAGGGCAAGAUUGCAAAAAACAAGAAAAUUUGAGGCAAAAGCGUAAAUAGAAGCCGCAUGGAGGAGACGCCAGGCACGCGCCUGUUCCCGCGGCAGGCGCGUGGUCCAUACGCGCGCGGUUCAGCGCGCGUGCGCGUGCAACACACACACCUAGCAACUGCCACGCUCGUGGAUCCCACGCACGCAACGGUUGAGCGCCCGUGAGAGCGCGUGGCGCGUGGAUUCCACGCCCCUGCAACCGCAGUGCGCGCGUAGGCUCCACGUGCCUUCUUCCUCACACGAACAGAAGCUUUUCUUCGCCAUUCCGCCGCGGUUUCGCCGGCUAUUUCUUCUCCGGCCGGCCAUUUCUUCUCCAGCAGCCCAUCUCAGACAGAAAUAAAUAAUGAGUUUUGAAGAGCAUGCCGGAAAAAUCACACGGGUCCAAGUUUCGGUGAAAAUGAGCAAAAAUUGGCCCCAAAAUCAUACGAAAAUUUCCUAAAACACAAUUCCUUCAACCACUGCGACUUCCACCGCCCGAUUAGCCUCCGGCGAUCACCGAUAUGCCGAAAUAACUCAUGACUAAUAUUCCUCAUGGCGGUGCGACCGUGCGGGUCCGAAAUCAUGGGGUGGGUCGCCGGAAUUUGCUUGGAAUUUGGGAGUUUCUCUGUUGGCCUCAAAACUCCGAAUUACUGUUCAUGUUCAAAAUGCCCAAAAAACACACCAAAAAUUCGAGAAAAACAAGGCAGAGGCACUAGACAUGCUCUGAUACCAAAUGUAAGACAAAAUAAUUCAUAUGCAGAAGCCAGGAUCAAUUAAAGACAAACCUCCCGCCAUUGUUUUGUUCACGUUCGUAAAAAAACCUGAAAUCAAAGAAAAUUGAGGACACUCUACUACCCAAUUCACUCUCGUACUGAUGGUGUAUUCUGAAUGAGAGAGUUUGAGUUAGACAUUGUCAUCAUCUGUCAGAAAUGAACGUACUUUCCUAUUUAUACAUUGUCUCCCAUCAAGACUGGCGGUUGUCACCAAAGGGUACGAAGCGUGGAAAACUUUAUGUCGAACAGUCGCAACCUUUAGAGAAAAUAAACGUGGGAUCACAAAAAUAAAUAACAAUGCCCACUCAAGCUGAGGUGGAGGCUGAAGAAGAGAGCAGCGAAGCCAACGAUCAAUUUUCCACGGGGCCUUUACUCUUACCAGGAUUUUUCGAGUAUAUGGAACAGUUAAACUUCAGCCAACAGGUGCAAAAUUGCCAUGGUAUGUCCAUGUAAAGUUUUUAUACAUUCAUCCAGGCGCGAAGAAAGGAAAAAUCAUUAUAUUUUUCAGAUUAGUAACUCUCUCUAUAAUAACUCAAAUUCAUCUGCUUCCCUAUCAUAUCGAUUCCAAAUUACAGUUGUAUCAUUGUAUAUUCUAUAUGUCCCAUAUCGUUAUCUUUUUACCGCAUGGUUUAUUUCAUCAAAAUAUUUACUUAUGAGCAUAUGUUGAUUUUCGCCGUAAAUAUUUGUUUUUUAAUCAAGUUCUAGACAUUCGUUUUACCUGUACCCAUGGCUUGAUUUAAAAGUCCCAUUGUUGAUUUAUUUUACGCUCAACUUUUUUAGUGCAACCAGUUUUGGUGCCCCCUCAACAUCAAAAUGCUCCACAUCAAUCCAAGACAAGGAAUGUGCUUCAGAAUCCAACUGCACAAUCAUCAACAGCUCUAAGGGAUAUGGAUUUACGUAUCCUAUCAUCAUCACAAGCUUCAGAUGUUGCUCCACAGUGGCCGACCGAUGUUUCAAACUUCAACCAACAGGGAUAUCAAUGGGCCAAACUCUGGCCAACAAUCACAAGCAGAGCGUCAGUUUCCUCAGAGUUCAACAAUGCCGUCACUGGCACAAAAUCGCCAUGGUAUGUUAAUGUGAAGUAUCUAUACAUUCAUCUCGGCGGGGAGAAAAACAUCUAUUAUAUUUUUCAACGCAAACAUGUUGGAUUUUUUAACCGAAGUGGUAACUUUUAAAUAUCUCCGAUAAACAUGCUUUUUCCACACAACUGUUCAAAUAUGAAGAGAGUCAAUAACCUAUUCCUUAAUAACCAUACAUCCAAUGUGUUACACGUGGCCACUGGACCCACUGGAUCCAGUAAACUAACUACAAUAAGCAUUCUCCCGUGUUCCAAUCAACCAUAUCCUAACUUUGAUGAACAAAACACAGGUGAAAGUUCCACGAUGGCUUUAGUGGAAGCGGAAUUGUAUUUUCAUGAUCUGUUAGAUUAGUCACAAUGUUACUUUCAAUCUCAAAUGCAAAUGAUUGCCCAUCAGACUCCAGCAGGGGCGUCAUCAUUCCAGGAUGAUCAAUUACCUACUGUAGAUAAUUCAAAUUGCUUGCCGGAUUGCAAUCAGCACUCUCAAUUGCAAACUUUAAUGGACAUAGAUCCCUCAAUUGCACCACAGCAUACAAGUGACUCACACAUUAUUGAGGCAACAACGGUUGAAUCUCAAGUUUCAGAGGCGGCAACAAAUGCAACAGGCCCAUCGUCAUCACAAGGUGUGUUUGGAUUAAUCUUCAUUGUUACUAUAUGGUUCCACUAGACUCUUAAAUAUCCCCAAAUUAUUUUAUCGAAAUCUAACAUAUGUUUUUUUUGUAAAUUAGAUAUGAAUAGGGGUUCUCCAGUCAUGGACGUACGGAGCAUCUAUGCCAACGAUGAAGAGAUAAGAAACCUGAAAAGAAAAGUGGAAGAACUUGACGACAAAAAAGCUGUCAUAAAGGAGCAGAUGGAGAUAGAGUCUGCUGCUUCCUCUGUUCGGAAGAAGCCGAGGAUAUUGGUUGAGAGAUGACUGAAAGAGACAGAAAGAGCAAGAAAUAAUUUCCAAAUAAUUGGCCAAGCCAAUGUGGAAACUUUGCCACCAAAGGAACAGGUGGAGACAUUGACGAGAGAAGUGGAAGAACUCAUAGGAAAAAUGCUUCCACAAACACUACUCAUAGAGGAGAGAGAUGCCAAAGGAGUCAAAUUUUUUGAACGAAAGCUAACAGGUGAAGUGAUUCAUAGGAACAUUAAGUUGAUUUGGGAUUGUCUGAAGGAAAAUCAUGUAUGCAAAUUGGGUAUUUAUGGAAUGGGUGGUGUUGGGAAGACAACUAUUAUGAUGCACAUACAUAAUAGACUUCUCAAUGAUGCAACCUUCGAUGGUGUGGUUUUUAUCACUGUGUCCAAAGAUUUCAGCAUUUAUAAGUUGCAGAGUGAUAUUGGGGAGGCAUUAAAAUGUGGCAUUAAGGAGGUUGAGGAUGAGAAGAAAUGAGCAGCGAUGUUGUUGGAGCAUUUAGAAAGAAAGAAGAAUUGUGUAUUGAUUCUUGAUGAUGUGUGGGAACAUCUUGAUCUUGAAGAGUUGGGAAUCCCUAUUAGAGCACAUGGAUUUGAGUUCAUCUUAACCACUCGAUCCUUUGAUGUGUGCUGCCAAAUGCAAUAUCAAGAAAAGAUCAAAAUCAAGCCUCUAUCUCAAGAAGAAGCCGAGAGUUUGUUUUUGGAGGAGCUUGGACCCGAAAUGCCACUUAAUUUGGAAAUUGAAGCAAUUGUGAAGUCCAUUGUUAAAGAAUGUGCAGGCUUGCCGAUUGGAGUAAUCACGAUGGCGAGAAGCAUGCGAGGAGUGACCGAAGUGUUUGAAUGGAGGGAUUCCUUGGUGAAAUUGAAAGAAUCGACUAUUAGACAAACAUAUAUGGAAGGUUUUAAGAAUUUUGAAAUUUAGUUAUGAUUGCCUUGGUAAUUCUAAUGUCCAACAAUGUUUCUUAUCUUAUGCACUUUAUCCAAAUGAUGGAUUAAUUGGUGGAUUGAGUACGAGUAAUGAACAAUAUGAUAGAGGGCUCACCAUAUUGAACAAAAUGAGAAAUGUUUGCCUAUUGGAAGGUCAGCACAAGAGAGGGAUGUGGAUGAAGAUGCAUGAUUUGAUUAGAGACAUGGCAUUGCAUAUCAUGGGUGUGACUUUCAUUGUAAAAGCAAGAAAGCAAUUGAUGAGGAUUCCAUCCGAAGAAUAUUGGACUGAUGCUUUGGAGAAAGUUUCUCUAAUGAAUAAUAACAUUAAAGAUUUUCCAUUGGACAUGUCGCCAAAUUGCCCUAACCUAUCAACUCUUCUAUUAAAAAAUGGCUUGUCGCAUGAUGCGGUCAUCCCUGAUUCUUUCUUCAAAAAUUUAUGCGGGCUAAAGGUUCUAGAUUUGAGUGGAAAUGAUAUGACAAAACUUCCAAAUUCCAUCUCAAACUUGGUAAACUUGAGAGCACUAUUGCUCAGACAUUGUCAGGAAUUGCGCCGUGUUCCUUAUCUAGGAAAGCUCACAUCUUUAAGAAAGUUGGGCGCUGAAUACUGUAGGAGUCUUGAAGUGCUUGAGGGUUUGGAAAAGUUGGUGAACUUGAGAUACCUUAACCUAACUGGAACACAUAUUGAGAGAUUGCCCAAGGGAAUGUUGGACCAUUUAUUACACUUGCAAUAUCUUAAAUUUUCGGUGGUAAAUGAAGAAGACAUUACGAAAUUGGGGGCAUUGAAGACAUUUGGAUGCUACCUUAAAAAUGUGGAUGAUUUCAACAAGUGUGUGAAGGCUAUUGAGCAUAGUAAUAACCCUCGCUAUUACGACCUCAAAGUGGAUCGAGAAAAACCAGAGUUUAUUGCGAAAGUAAGCGAUGAUACUCAAUUUGGGAAUUUGAGGAGGAGAGUCAUCAUUUGGGAUUGGAGUCAUGCCAUUUUGAGCGUGGGAGGCGAUUGCACCAGCAUUUUUAUUUUGAUUCCCCAAGAUGCGCAGAUAAUGAUAAUGAGAAAAUACGACGGUAUAACAAAUUUGUCUGGCAUGCGUCUGCUUGAAUACCUUGAGGAGCUAAAUAUAGAAGAAUGGGAAAACUUAGAGGUGCUCUAUGGAGGACAAGACAAAGAAGUAAUCGUCAUCCAUGACUCCCUUACCCCAACCCCUACCUUUCCGCUCUUCCCCAACCUUAGGGUUUUGCGAAUAGAAAAAUGUACGAAAUUGAAGUAUCUCUUUGGGCAUGGGUCUAAAACCAACCUUCCGCAUCUACGAGACAUUCUAAUAUAUGGAUGUGAGGAAAUGGUGGGGAUAAUAGCAGCAGUUACAUCCCCACCACCACAUCCGCUCCCAUUUUUCCCUAGUCUGGAACAGAUUACUAUUGAAAAAUGUAAUAACAUGAAGAGAGUGGUGGAAUCUGAGUGGAUGCCCCACUUCCCUAAUCUAAGAAGAAUCUAAGUAUUCAAAUGUGAGAAGAUGGAGGAGAUAAUCGAAGGUCGUCCCCCAUACUUGCCAGUUGAAGGCAUUUCUCUCGAAUCUCUUACGGUAAUAGAUUGCGGUAACAUGAGAAAGCUGCUUCCGCAUGAGUGGCUGCUCCAUCUUCGAAAACUUCGAAAGAUCAUGGUCUCAUCGUGCAAUGGAAUGGUGGAGAUGAUAAGUGGAGCGGGACAAGGUCAAGAAGGAAGCUUAACGACUCCCUGUAAACAACACCCCUUCAUCCUUCCAGCCUUCUUCAAUUUCUCCCCCAAAGCUGGAGUGGUUGGGACUACUCAAUCUACCCCAGCUGAAGAGCAUAUGCGAAGUCCCAAUAAGCUGCGAUUCCAUGAAAAAUUUGACGGUGUACGGAUGCCAAGAACUGAAGAGGAUUCCUUUGCAACUGCGAUUGUGUGAAAUUGAGGAGCUUCCACAUAUUUGGGUGGAAGAUGAGGAAAAGUGGAAGACGCUAAUUUGGGAUCAUCCCAAUGCUCAGGCUACUCUUAAACCUUAUCUCCUAAAAGGGAAUCACACUAAUAGAGAAAGUCCUUUAUUUUGGGAGGGACCGAGUCCUCCAAGUGCUAUAGGUUAAUGAGUUUAAUCGAUAUACAAUUGCUUCACUUCUUAAAAGUCCUUAUAAAGAUGUAGCUUCUCUGUCUAUAUAGUCAUGCAGCUCUAAUAGUGGCCUUUUGCAGAACUGUCCACCAAGGGAGAGGAUCUCUAGUGACUCUGCUCUUGAAGAAAGCCCUACUGCUCGACCAUGCUUUCCUGCAAACUCGACUCAGGUUGUCAUAUAAUUUGACUUUUUUCGUGUAUAUUUUGAAUGUGUUCGCAUGUUUUAUUGACUAUUGGAAAUGAGUCAAUCUGGUCGAUAUUUCAGGUUAGUCAAAAAACAACGGAUCUGAAGAUUUAGGAAGCUAAGGGACGAGCAAAGCCUGUUUCCUAUCUUGUCUUAUAACCGAAAGGACAAUUUAUUAUUAUGGAUUGAUCUUCCUAGAAUAUUAGCCUUCUAAGAAAAGAGAGAAUUUUGGGCAGCACUACCUUUUAAUAUGCUUGUGUUUAGAAAGGAUUUCAAAUAUGAUAUUGCUAUAACUUGUCGAUCAAAAAUGUUGUGCCACAUAUGCUGCUUUGCUCUCUUGGAUCAGAGCAACAUGACUCUGAUUAAACUUGUUUCGACAUUAAACUAUCGGAUAUAGAAUACUUGAUCUGCUUAGUAGUUGUAUCAUAUCUGGAAACGUAGGCUGGAAAGUUUUCUUUUCACCCUUUGUUGUAAAAUUUCACCUCAACCCCACUUUGAGUUAUAAAAUAAAAAUCCAUCACCCCUCUUUUGAUUCCUUGAAGUCGUAAAUAGAUGGAGAACCCUACAGCUUCAGCUUAAGUUGCCAAAAGAUUAGAGCAGUUACCACUAGCAAGUUAGUGGUGAAAAGGCCAACUUAUUGGACAUGGCACUUUCGGAAAUGUUUACAUUGCAAGCAACAGGUUAGCUAGCUCUGGUAAACUUUGACAUGUUCCAAUUUUCUAGAUAUCCAGUCAGCUAAACUUUGACCUAUUAGGUGACAGAGAAACCAGAUCUUUAUGUGCAUUGAAGGAGUUUGAGCUAUUGCCUAAUGAUCCAAAUUCAGCUGAGUGCAUGGGGCAGUUAAAGCAGGUAAUGUCUUUGUUAUGCUCCGGGAUCCAAUCUAUUCUCUCAUCUGAUCUAAAUAUGCUGGGAGGAAAUUUUUUUUUAUCAUUUCUAGGUAAUUGAUUGCUUUGCUACUACAGGAAAUUCAAGUACUUAGCCAGCUUAGACAUCCAAACAUUCUGCAGUAUUAUGGCAGUUAAAUUGUGAGUCACCUUUCCACGGCAUCUACACGACCCAGAUCAAUGGGCAUUCAUAAUUUUACUUACCGAAAUUCCAACAUAUUCAUACAUACUUAGGUUGAGGAUCAACUUAAAAUAUAUCUAGAAUAUGCACAUCACGGUUCGAUAGACAAGUAUAUUCAGGAGCAUCUUAGGACCCUAACAGAAUCGGUUGUUCACACUUUUACCCUCCAUAUUGUGGCUGGAUUGGCUUCCCUGCAUCUUAACAACUCCAUACAUGGGUAAUUCUAAACCAUUGAUCAAGUAUCAUGAGAUGACUUGCAUACUAGAUUAGGAUGAUUGGACCUUCUUCUUUGUCCCUAUAGACCUGUUAAAACUCUUUGGCUUGCGCAGGGAUUUAAAGGGAGCUAAUUUAUUUGUGGAUGCAUAUGGGAUAGUUAAACUUGCUGACUUUGGGAUUGCUAAACAUGUGAGUUUCCACCUCUUCACUGCAAGACUACUGAGUGCAUGUAGAAAUUCCUUGUUGAUCUAUGGUGCAUUCGAAUGUUAAGUCAGGAACCCAGGGUGACUGCAUACUUCUCAUUAAUGGUUUGUGGCAUUUCAUAUAUGCAAAAAUCCAUUAUAGAUGGAUGAAAUGUUAUUGAGUAAUUUUCUUCACUUUUUUUCCCAUUGUUUCGGGUAAAGUUACUAUGUUGCAUAAACUAGAAAAGAUUUCUUGUUAUAAAUAGAUGCUGAAACCUACUGAGAGUUCUUUCCUUUUCUACUGGUUUCUAAAAAGUUCCUAAGAGAGGUAGUGAAUAAAACGCAAUACCUUUGGCGAAAGGUUGUGGUUUUGUUUUUGCUGCUUCUCUGCAUUCCCAAAGAAGGAUAGAAUUUAGUUAGAGUAAAGAAAGGCCUCCUUCCUAACAUGGGGUUAAUAAAAGUGUAUUGGUCCAUAGAACGGAAUUCUAGACAAUAGCCACGGUACUGUUGGUCUCUUUUUUGAGUUCUCAAACAUUUGCUGAGACCAUGUUGUUGAUUGCUUCAUGGUCAUUUUUCUCAGUAAUGAGCUAACAUAAGUUGAAAGUGGUUGAUUUAGUUAUCAAUCUGAUGUAUUUAUAUCUAUAAAGAUGUUGCUAUUUUAUCCAGUGUUCCAUGAACACACUAGGUAGUCUUCGACUCUACUAAUCUCUUACCAUUUCUUAGCUAACCGGACAAGCAGCUUCUUGCUCUUUGAAGGAAGUCUAAACUGGAUGGUUCCCGAGGUACUCUGCUUUGGUGAAUGUUAACGCUGCAUUCUUUUUUUGUCGUGACGGAAUGAUGGAAUAAUAUAUCCAGCAGCUCAUACAAUCCUUGAUGGCAAAUAAUUACAGCACAGAUCUCGAUUGUAUUGUCGACUUGUGGAGUUUGGGAUGUACUAUUACCGAAAUGAUAAUUGGCAAACCUCCUUGGAGUGAGUAUGAGUGGGUAGGUACGCUGCAUUGCUUUUUCAUUUUCUCUGUUUGUCCCUCCAAGUAAUACGCUUCCAACCAAAUCUGCAUCGUCGUCUGGAAGAGAUUAUUGUUUGGGACUGUGGUAAAAUGAAGAGAGCAGUGGAAUCUGAGUGGAUGCCCCACUUCCCUACUCUGAGAAGAAUCACAGUAUAUGAAUGUGAGAAGAUGGAGGAGAUAAUCGAAGGUCCUUUCUCAUACGUGCCAGUUGAAGAGAUUUCUCUUGAAUCUCUUGAAUCUCUUGAAGUAGCAAAUUGCAAUAACAUGAGAAAGCUGUUUCCGCAUGAGUGGCUGCUCCAUCUUCGAAAUCUUCAAAGGAUCGAGGUCGAUUAUUGCAAAGGAAUGGUGGAGAUGAUAAGCGGAGCCAGACAAGGCCAAGAAGGAAGCACGGUGACUCCUGUAAAUAACACCCCUUCAUCCUUCCAGCCUCCUAUUUCUCUCCCAAAGCUGAAGUUCUUGGGUCUAUGGUCUUUGCCCCAGUUGGAGAGCAUAUGCGAAGUCCCAAUAAGCUGCGAUUCCAUGAAAGAAUUGACAGUGUCCGGAUGCCCAGAACUGAAGAGGAUUCCUUUGCAACUGCGAUUGCGUGAAAUUGAGGAGCUUCCGCGUUUAUGGGUGGAAGAUGAGGAGCAGUGGAAGACGCUGAUGUGGGAUCAUCUCGAUGCUCUGGCUAUUCUUCAACCUUAUCUCCAAAAAUGGAAAUACGCUGUAAGUAAUGAGUUAAUUGUAUACGAUUGCUUCACUUCUUAAAAGUCUUUACAAAGAUGUAGCUUUUCUGUCUAUAUAGUCAUGCAGCUCUAACAGUGGCCUUUUGCAGAACUGGACGCCAGGAGAAAGGAUCUCCCUUGGCACUGCUCUUGAAGAAAGCCCUGCUGCUCGACCAUGCUUUCCUGCAAACUCGACUCAGGUUGCCAUAUGAAUUGACUUUUUUCGUGUGGCCAUGCUUUGUGUAUUUUCAAUGCGAUUGCAUGUUUUAUUGACUACUGGAAAUUAGUCAGUUUGGUCGAUAUUUCAGGUUAGUCAAAAAACAACGGAUCUGAAUAUUUGGGAAGCCAAGGGACUAGCAGAGGUCUGUUUCCUAUCUUGUCUUAUAACCGAAAUGAAAAUUUACUAUUAUUAAUUUAUCUUCAUGGAAUAUUAGCCUUCUAAGAAAAGAGAGAAUUUUGGGCAACACUACCUUUAAUUUGUUUGUGUUUAGAAAGGAUUUUAGAUAUGAUAUUGCUCAAACCUGUCGAUCCAAACUGUUGUGCGAUAUACGCUGCUUCGCUCUUUUGGAUCAGAGCAACAAGACCUCGAUUGAACUUGUUUCGACAUUAAACUGUUGGGUAGAGAAUACUUGAUCUGCUUAGUAGUUGUAUCAUCUCUGGAAAUGUAGGCUGGGAAGUUUUCUUUUCACCCUUUGUUGUAAAAAUUCACCUUAGCCCCACUUUGAGUUAAGAUGUAAGAAGAUGAAGAAGAAAGAAUUGCACAGCUAUCAACCCUCUUUUAAUGCCUCUAAGUCGUGGAUAGAUGGAGAACCCUACAACUUCAGCUCAGGUUGUCGAAAGAUCAAGCAGUUACCACUAGCAAGUCAAUGGCAAAGAGGCCAGCUUAUUGGAUGUGGCACUUUCGGAAAUGUUUACAUUGCAAGCAACUAGUAAGUUAUCUUUGGGAAACUUUGACAAGUUCCAUUUUUUUUCGAUAUCCAGUCGGCUAAACUUUGACAUAUUAAGUGACAGAGAAACCAUAUCUCUAGGUGCAUGGAAGGAGCUUGAGCUAUUGCCUAAUGAUCCAAAUUUAGCUCAGUGCAUGAGGCAGUUAAAGCGGGUAAUGUUUUUAUUAUGCUCUAGGAUCCAAUCUAUCCUCUCAUCUGAUUUAAAUAUGCUGGGAGGAAACUUUCUUUCAUCAUUUCCAAGUAAUUGAUUGCUUUGCUACUACAGGAAAUUCAGGUACUUAGCCAGCUUAGACAUUCGAACAUUAUACAGUAUUAAGGCAGUGAAAUUGUGAGUCACCUUUCCACGGCGUCUACGCAUCCCAGCUCAAUGGUCAUUCAUUAUUUGACUCACCAAAAUUUCAACAUUUUAUACAUACUCAGGUUGAGGAUCAUCUCAACAUAUAUCUAGAAUAUGAACAUCAUGGUUCAAUAGACAAGAAUAUCUAGGAGCGUCUUGGGACCCUAACAGAAUUAGUUGUUGCACUUUUACUCGCCACAUUGUUACAAAAUUGGCUUCCCUGCAUGUUGACAACUCCAUAUAUGGGUAAUUCUAAACCAUUGAUCAAGCAUCAUGAGAUGACUUGCGUAUUGGAAUAGGAUGAUUGGACCUUCUUCUUUGUGCUUACAGACCUGUUAAAACUCUCUGACUUGCGCAGGGUUUAGAGGGAGCUAACUUAUUUGUGAAUGCAUCUGGGAUAUUCGAACUUGCUGACUUUGGGAUUGCUAAACAUGUGAGUUUCCACCUCUUCACUACAAGACUACUGAGUGCAUGUUGAAAUUCCUUGCUGAUCUGUGGUGCAUUCAACUGUGUACUUCUCAUUAUUGGUUUGUGGCAUAUCAUAUGUGCAAAAAUCUAUCGUAGAUGGAUGAAAUGUUAUUGAGUAAUUUUCUUCACUUGUUUUCCCAUUGUUUUGGUUAAAGUUACUAUGUUGCAUAUAUGGGAAAAGAUUUCUUGCUAUAAAUAGAUGUCGGAACCUAAUGAGAGUUCUUUCCUUUUCUACUGAUUUUUAAAAAGUUCCUAAGAGCGGUAGUGAAUUUGUAAUACCUUUGCCAAAAGGUUGUGGUGUUGUUUUUGCUGCUCCUCUGCAUUCCAAAAGAAGGAUCAAAUUUAGUCAGAGUAAAGAAGGGCCUCCUUCCUAACAUGGGGUAAAUAAAAGUGUAUGGGUCCAUAGAACGAAAUUCUGAACUAUAGUCAAGAUAUUGUUACACUCUUUUUGAGUUCUCAAGCAGCAUUGGCUGAAGUCAUGUUGUUGAUUGCUUCAUGGUCUUUUUUACUAAGUAAUGAGCUAACAUAAGUUGAAAGUGGUUGAUUCAGUUAUCGAUCUGAUGUAUCUAUGUCUAUAAAGAUGUUGCUAUUUUAUCCAGUGUUCCAUGAACACACCAAGUAGUCUUUGGCUUUAAUAAUGCCAUACCAUUUCUUAGCUAACCGGACAAGCAACUUACCGCCCUUUGAAUGGAAGUCUAAACUGGAUGGCUCCAGAGGUACUCUGCUUUUGUGAACGUUAAUGCUACAUUCCUUUUUUUGUCGUGGCAGAAUGAUGGAAUAAUAUAUCUUGCAGCUCAUGCAAUCCUUGAUGGCGAAUAAUUACAGCACAGAUCUCGAUCAUUCUGCCAACAUGUGGAGUUUGGGACGUACUAUUAUUGAAAUGAUAACUGGGAAACCUCCUUGGAGUGAGUAUGAGUAAGUACGCCGCAUUGCCUUUUCAUUUUCUCUGUUUGUCCUUCCAUGUAACACGCUUCCAACCAAAUCUGCGUUGCCGUUUUCUGUGGGAAGUUCAGGGUCGUGUACAUCGCCAUUUGGUAUGUGAUCUGUGUCAUGCGUUUCUGUUUAAGGUUGAAUCAUUAAUGUAGGCUCAAGCUACAUUUAAGGUGAUUUGAAGUUCUCUAGCAAUACCUGAGACGUUAUCUGCCGAGGGAAAGGAUUUCCUGCAAUGCUGCUUUCGAAGACAGUCUGUCGAGAGGCCUUCAGCUGCUAUGCUACUUGAGCAUGCUUUCCUGCAAAUCUGAAGUUGCAGAUGACUGACCUAUUUCAAGUGCCAUAUGUUGUCACAAAAGGGUUGUUGUCCUGUAAAGUUCCAUAUUGACUAAACCAGAAGGAUCACACGGUCCAUAGAUGUGAUAAAGUACUUGUAUAUCGACAAAAUAAGACGGAUGUUCCUCUUGCAUGGUCUGACUAGCGGCAUACUGAUCUAGGCAAUUUAACAGUGUUGCUUAAUCUAAACCUUUUAGUGUAGAGUGCAUUCUUAUCAUAAACAUUUUGUGCGAAGUACAUUUAUUCAUCAAAAUUGAAUGGUAUUGAUUUGGCUCCAAAUAAGCAACAGAUCAGUGAAACAAAAGCAGGUAAACCCAGAAAAGAGGAGAAAAAGAAAAUCGAAGCGAUAGUGCAUCAGAAUUCCUGAACUAAUUUUGAAAGCAAAUACUUUGUCGGUUUGGUGGGAGGAACAUUGGCAGGUUUGGCAAACCUGCAGUGUCUUAGGAUUGCAUUAGAGGCUCUUGAUUCUUCCCUUCAACAAAUACAUGAGAUUUUCUCCGACCAGAGUGGCCCUCAUCACUAUCACCAAAUUCCGGUGAAUCAAGAAAAGCCAUCGUGGUCUGUCUCUGAAUUUAAAUGAUGAUGAGGAUCCAAGAUUUAUAACUUCCGAGAGGAGAAUCAACGUUAAUUGUUGUGAUUAUGCUCUUGUCAGGGCAGUGAGGGGAAAGUCUUUCCCCUAUUGGUUUUGCUCCCAAGUGAUGCUGCAAGUUUACUGUAUUUUCCCCUUAUGGUUGUUUGUCAUUUCGUGGACCAUUUUUAGAAUAACUUUGCAUCUCCUCUCUAUAAAAUACAAACAACUGAUGAAAUCUGUUGAAAAUAUCUCACACCGGUCUUUUACAAGAUUUUAAUGGGCCUUACAUUCAUAUAAUUUACCUUCACUUGUUCAAAUUUUUAGGUUGGACUUUCUCUUAUGUGCAAAUAGCAAUUUCUGCUUGAAAUGAAGAGUAAACAUGCUUCCCUUUUUUAACUAUUUUUUCUACGAUUAAAGUGAUUCCUCUACCCUAUACUAGAAAUAUAUAAAGUGUCACAGAAAAAGAAACUCCUCGAAAUUUUGUAAAGUCGGAGGCGCAGCUCAGAUUGAGCUAUGACUCUCAACUGCAUUAAAUUCUCUCUUCAUUUUCGUCUUCUUUUGUUCUUUUCCUCAAUUUUUAGCCAACAUCCUAACCAUAAGGCGCCUUUUCUCUUUUGUCCCUUAUCUCUCCCCCUUUUCUUCGUACACCUCACUCUUCUUUUCCUGCCUCUUUUUUUUUUGGUUCUCUGCCCGAACCCUUAACGAAGACAACUAAUUGGUAUUUAGUUUUCCAAAGUGUAGCAUUAUUGAGCACCAUCAUCGACCAUCAAGUUCGCUAAACUCAACCAUCAAUUAACUAACUAUUCUUGUUUAACAGGCCAGGCCAACGCUCGCUUGGGCAAGGGCGAGCCCCGGUGAGGGCUCCCAUUAUUUAAAAAUAUUUAAAAAUUAUUAAAAAAUUAUUAAAAAUGAUCUACGUCAGCGCCAGCGGUCCUACGUGGCACCACCAAUGUCCACAUCAGCAUUUUUCGGCCAAAAUUGACCAGAUGGACUGAAUUGGCAAUAAGUGAAAACGUUUAAGACUGAAUUGGCAAAAUUAAAAAUGCAAUAGGUUUAGGACUUUUUGGACAAUUUUCCCGAAAUAAUUGCGAUACCAAAUGCUAAAGGGCAAGACGGGAGACUUUUAUACGAAGUGAAUGGAAGCAAAGGUGCUUCUGAAAAGGGCAUUUUCAGAAGGAAAAGUGCUUGUGCAGCUAAGGGGGGAAAGAGGGGAGUCUUAUAAGAACUGAGGUAAAAGUGCUUGCAAAAAGGACAUUUUCGGAAAAAAAAAAAGUGCUGGUCAUAAGAGCUUUAUAAAUAGUGAUAUGGCUUCUUAUAAAACGUUUUAUACGAAGUCGGAAAAGUUUUGUAAGAAGUGACGUGGCUUCCUCUAUAAGGGCAAGGCAGGAGACUUUUAUAAGAAGUCAAUGAAAGCGAAAGUGCUUCCGAGAAGGGCAUUUCGGCAGGAACAGUGCCUGUGCAGCUAAGGGGGAGACAGGAAAGUUCUAUAAGAACUGAGGCAAAAGGGCUUCCAAAAACAGCAUUUUCGGAAGAAAAAGUGCCGGUCAUGAGAGCUUUAUAAAUAGUUACGUGGCUUCUUAUAGAACGUUUCAUACGAAGUCGGGAAUGUUUUGUAGCGGCUGACUUCGUAUAAAACGUUUGACUUCGUAUAAAACGUUUAAAUGUUUUAUACGAAGUCAGGAAAUUUUUGUAAGUGACGCGGCUUCUUUCUCAUGAAAAGCCCCCAGAGGACGCCGUUCUUCUUUUAAAACUCUCCUGGCCAGCACAUUUUUUUCAAUUCACUUCUUAUAAAACUCUUGUCUCGCCCCUUAGCAUUUGGCACCGCAUUUCUCUCACAAAACAAUUCACUCAUGGGGAAUGUUUUUACGCGCCAUUGUGAAGACGCGAUCAUUCCUGAAGCUGAAGCUGUGGUUAUAUCUGGUAAUUUUCUCUUCUUCAUCUUCUUCAUCUGUGAUUCACGGUCACCCAUAGACGUUUGAGUUGAGUUUGAUUCUUAUGUUAAAAUUUACGUCCUUCAUUUCCUUGAGAUUCAAUUGUUUCGCUUAGAAAGUUUGUCAACUAGAUAAGGGCUGGUGAUGAUGUGUUUAAUGCACUUUUGUAGGUCAGAUUUGGCGAUUAUGUGUUUGUUUUUCUCACUUUUAAGCUUCUAAAGUACAGAGAACUAGUCUUUUGAUAGUUACAAAAAGUACAGAGAAGUAGUCUUGUAAAGGUUGAUCCACUGGUAGAAUUGUGUGGCAAUCAUUAUGAGACCGUGAUGUAAUGCCUCUUUAUUUUUCUAAUCCAUAGAUCUAUUUCCCAUGUCUACCAUUCGUAAUGAAGAAGAGGGCAGUGAAGAAGUUGAAUUACAUGAUGAAUUUGCCAUCAUCAAUGUCCCCAUUCAAGGUGGAGAUGGCAAUACCAUACCCAGUGAAGAAGAGGGCGGUCAAGAAGUUGAAUUACACGAUGAAUUGAUUGCCGUCAUUAUCCCCAUUCAGGGUGGAGAUGGCAAUACCAUACCUAGUGAAGAAGAGGACGGUCAAGAAGUUGAAUUACACGAUGAAUUGAUCGCUGUUGUUGUCCCCAUUCUGGAUGGUGAUGGCAAUGGUGACGGCCAUAUUGAGGAUGGCGACAACAAUGUUGGUGAGCAUGAAGUGGAGCAAGAGGUGCAGGAGGUGGAGAAUGAGCAGGACGGCGGCGAGGGGGCUGGUGUGGGGGUUGUUGUUGGUCCUGCCGUUGCUGGUAAUAGAGCUGGCUUUAUUGUUCUGGCAACGGUGCUAGUGGGGGCGCUCGUCUUGUGGAAGAUGCGGCUGAUAACACUGUUAGAGUUGCUUUUGAUGGUGGUGGUAGUAUUGGCAGUAGCCUUGCUCCUUGGGCGCAUGGAUUGGCUAAACUUGAUAUGGAUCUUAAUCCUAAGACUCAAUAUUAUCCUAGUAUGAUGGAGAGAUUGACGCGUGGAUUGCCACGUGAGAUGUCUAGGUGGACUUCUUUGGAUGAUUUUCAGUAGAACAUUUUUGUUGCAGGAACCUCUGUUUGUAUCCUUAUUUCAUCAUGUAUACAUUUGUAUCAUUACUGGUUAUGUUGUCAAUGUACUUGGAAGGAAUAAACAUAUUCAUAGUUUAUUAACAGCUGAUUGUUCUCCUAUUGGUAUAAUUUAAGUACGCAUACGUAAGGAAUGGAGUAAGUACGGCCAUAACGAUUAUUCUCUAAUUUUAUGCGAGACUUAGAUAAAUUAGCCUCCCUAUACCAUAAAACCCGGUGGCAAUUUGAUGAACCGUCAUGUUUUCUUAGGAUUAGUAUGUGCACAAGUAGUUACGGAAUCUUAACUUUCACGUAAGAGGAUGGUCAGUAAGCUUUUCUUUGCCCAUGAGCUUAGCUCUCCUUUUUAUAUUCAGCUGGACUCAUCAAUGACAGAGGGUCAUUUGAUUCAAUCUUCUAUGUGAUGUUGAUGCAUAUAUGAUUACAUAUAAAUAGACGUGACAAAUGAGUGGACUGAAUUGAUUUUGGAUGGAUUAUCAAUAGGUUCAAUUCAAAUUCACGCAUUUAAUUCACGUUGACCCAUUUAUUUUCUGCACAAUUUAUAUGACACAUAGCCAAUCCAAACCCACCAACAUAACUCACAAUUUUUUUUAUUAAUACCAAUUAAACAAUUAUCAAAUUAAAAUAAUAAAAAUUAAUAGGGAUAAAUACACUUAAAAUCCUAAAAUUUGUCAUGAAGUAUAAUUAAAUCCUAAAAUUUAUCACAAAAAUUCAAUUGAAUUUUAAAAUUUUCAAAAAUAGUAAUUUAAGGGAUUUUUUUUCCCCUUCGCAGGCUCCCCUUUUCUCUCUCUCCAUGCCCGCUUUUUGGAAUUAAAGAGGAGAAGAAUGAAUUUUUCGCACUAACCUCCUUCUACUUCCUCUGCUUCUUCACGAACGACCAUAAGCCUUCACAAACCGAUCCCUUUUUUCUCUGCCAUGCUUUAGUCGAGCCGUAGCAGUUGUCCUUUGACCCGGAUGUUGCCGGUGACACCGUGGCCCGUCUCUGAGCUCGACGGCGAGAAUUGAGCCACCUAGAUUCAUCUUGCGCCUCUAUCUCUCUCGUCAUCCCCUUUCGACUUCGGAUGGGGCUGAUUCGAGCCAUUGACAUAAUUUCGUCUCAGAUUCACGGCCGAGUCGAGGCAUAGAUCUGAGAUCUAGGGCUCAAUCGAGCUCCACCAAAGGCGAGGGCUCAGUCGAGCUACACCAGAGGCGAGGGCUCUUGGGAGUUAUGUUCAGAUGAUCAUUACAUGAGAGACCCAUGCCAGUACCUACUCAAGGACUACUGCUUUGGAUUGUGCCUAAGAGACAGAAAUGAUCUUUCCUUGACCAUCCAGGACUUCAACUAUGCCAGCUUUUCAGGACUUAGCUACAUCAAACAUCCCCAUUAGUGGAUAAAAGUUGAAACGCCAUUAACCCGAGAAAGAAGCCAGUGCUUUUAGAAACUCUUCUGGAUAACAUAACAAAGUGCAUUCUGCCAAUGGUAUAUGCUUUCAUUUUAUAUGAAGCUAUAUGCAUGUCGUCAUUACAAAUUUAAAAUUGAGCUCGACUGCCCAGUAUUCAUGCAAUUUUCCUUAUCUUAGCCCCUCCAGAAACUAUCAAUGCUUGCUAUAUUAAUAAAACCAAAUGCUAUUUGAACAGAACAAGGCCUAAUUUUUCUUUUGCUCUUCCAAUUUCUUUGGGUUGGUUUGAAUUUGAUUUAAUUUUUGUGUUUUUCCCUUCUUUCUUGCCUUUUACCUAACAAACCAUGAUAUUUCAACAAACAGUGAUGACAAAGCAUCAAAUUAUGACAAGGAGAUUCAUUUAUAUUGAUUGAAUCAUGCAAUAGUGAAGUUAAAGUUAUUUAUAUUAGUUGAAAGGUGAUCAUUCUUGACAUGGAGUGACAGCAAAAUACUUUCGUACUUUCUCUUCGUAAAGUGAAUAUUGUUUUACUCUUCUAUUUAAAAUCUAACAUGUAGAAAGUAAUUAACUAAGCUAAAUAAUAUAGAGUAAUUUGAGAAAUGGCAAUAUCUAUCCGAAUUCCAACAUGUCAACACAUUGAACUUUGAUGUAAUUACAUAUAUCUGUGCACGUCAUACUCUAGUAUUCCAUUGAAUUACAGCAUAAAUGCUAGAGUAUAUAUUUUGAUACUCAACCUAGAUACUCAACCCAGUGUGCUUGCUGGUAGUCAAUAUUGACAAAGUUAAAUAAGAGAAUCACAGUGCAGAAAAUCAGCGCAUCUUUGGCUGAUUCAACUUAGAAAUAAUUAAGAGGGAAAGGACCUAUAGGCUCUUAAGUCUUUGCAGAACUAGUGAAGAGCUUUAAAAUGCCAAGGCAGGCGAUUGGGAUGCAUGAGAUUCUGCAAAACCUUGAGAAGUGCAAAAGACAGGGGACAGCAGAGACCUCAGUUAAUGCAAAUUCAACAGGCACAAAUGAUCAAUGCAAUCAUGCGAUAUGAACUUGAACAGAAAAUUGCCCAAGAGCUCAUUAUGGCAGGGCAAGCUGGAAGAGGCUUACCCUGAAGUGGAUUUACCCAAUCUUUCAUCUUUACAUCGUCUCUGAUCAUCGACCAUCGACUCGAAAACAUCUAACAGUUGAUCCAGUCCCUCUGGACUGCCCCCAACUGCCUUCAUCGCGUAGAUGGCACUCUCGAGAGUGGACAAACAUCCAGCCUUAGGCUGACUUCUAACUUCUCUGUACAAGCUCAUCACCUCCAAAUCCAACUUCAGAUGAGGCAACAGCUUCAACCAAGGAUUCUCGCUGUACAUUCUCUUUGCCUUCAUCCACGUGCCGUCCAGCAAGAUCAAGUUCCUGACUUUGAACUCAGCUGCCUUGAGUUCAUCAAUGCUGAGCGCAUUCUUGGUCGGAAACAGAAGUACCGACCCGCGCGGCACUUCAAGUACGAAUUCCUCAGAUUCUUCAAGCUCCAAGCUCGAAUUCAAUACAAGGUUUUGCGAUUUCCUAACCACAAAUCCAUUCGACAGAACGUCAUGAGCUGACUGGCAAUCUAAUAUGGAAUCAAAAUCAGCUCCUCGAUGACCAAUUUGAGACAUCCAAACAUGGUCUAUCGAUUCAAUAAUCCCCUUCUUGCCCAUUCGAAAACUGAUAACAGGUUUGCUGGUACUUCUAGACAAGACUCCACAAGCGCGC